UACCAAUUAGCUCUUGAAUAUGCAAGAUAUAUACAAAUAUAACUUGAAACAAAAAAGUUUUUGUGAAAAUUGAUAACUCGUGCUCAAAACGGUUUAUCUUAUUUACUUUGAUUUUGUAUUAUCUUUAAUAAGAGGUGAGAGGAUAGUACGCUCUAUGAUUCACGCAUAGUUCCCUUUUUAACUUGCAUUAUCAAAUGAAAAAGCACAAGCUACAUAAUCCAAAGUACUAAAACAAUAAAUCUCUUUUUUGUGUAGCAAACGAAACAGAGAAGAAAGAGGGGUUGUGGCGGUUGCACCCAUGAUUUACCAUAAGAUGUUACAGUUAAGGCCCACCUCACCAAGCUAUUCUUGGGUAGAGGCAACUUGGCAAGGAAGAUUGGAAAUCAUGCCAUAUUCGUUGCAUAUUAAGCUAAAUAUUUGGACCUUUUAAAUACUCACACAAUUAAUAAUUAUUAUCAAAAAACCAAAAAAACUAAAACAAACACAAGAAGAAGAAGAAGAAUCAUCAUCACGGACUUCAAACUUCAUUUCUGAUAGCCAAUCUCUCUCUGAAUUGACAUUAAGGUCAGUUUAACUCUUUGUUUUACGUUUCUUUGUAUCUCUCUCUGCAUUUACAACACAUGAUCAAUAUCCGUGCUUUGAUUCCUUCCAUCUUAAUUAUUCAGUUCAUUUCUUCUUCUUCAUGAAGAUUACAAAUUUGCAGAAAAGCUUUGAUUUUUCUUAUUGGGUCAAUCUGUUUUCUAUGAACCAACUCCUUAUUUGCUGAGAAAACGGUGGAAACAAGAAGAAAAAGAUUGGGUUUUUGUUUAUUUGGCUUGUUUGGUAGAUGAAAUUUGGUGGAUGAAACUAAACCAUGGAGUUGUCUUGAGCUCAGUUGAGUGCUAAUUUGAGUUUUUUGAGGUCAUAAUCAAUGAGAAACUUAGGAAUUGUAAGUAUGAUGCUUUUUAUCUUCUUGCAUUUUGUCAGCAGCCAAGCAGAGCAUAUGUUUUGGCAGCUUGAUUUAGAUUUCUGAUCCUUUUCAAAUUAUUUCUGAUUUUAAAAGUAAUGGAAUUCUUCAAGGUUUUAGAUUUUAUGUAGUGUUUGGUGGAUAAAAAUUGGAACUUUAAAUGAUUCCCAGAUAAGACAUAGAUGUGAGUGUUAAUUUGUUUGUAAUGUUCCCCAAAAUGUGGAUGUUCCUUUUUAUUGUUAGAUUAAUCAUUUGAUCACCUUGGAUCCUCUGUACUGUUCCUUGUGAGAUUUUAAGAGUGUUAUCAUCUCAUUUCAAAACUGAGACUCUUGUUUUGUGACUUUUGCCUUGUGUAUUAAGUUUGUUCUCUUGUUCAGGAGCAGGAUUUGUGAUCGAGAAUUGUGGCGGUUGUAUAAUUAGCAUCAUGAGAUUCAAAAAAGGGAGCAAUGUGGAAGUCCUGAGGAAAAAGGAGGUGCCUUCAGGAUCUUGGUGGUGUGCCAAGAUCAUCUGCCGUGACGGCCACAAGUAUACUGUUAGAUAUGGAGUAGAGGUUGCUAAUGAUGAGACUGUUGUGGAGAGGGUACACAGAACAGCAAUCAGGCCUUGCCCUCCUCCAGUGGAAGUUACAGAGAGUUGGGUUCCUGGUGAUAUUGUGGAGGUUUUUGACAAUUUCUCAUGGAAAAUGGCAACCAUUUCUGAGGUUUUAGGAAACAAGUACUUUUUGGUCAGGAUAGUUGGAUCCUGCCGGGAAUAUAAGGUUGGGAAACUGGAAGUUCGAGUUAGACAGUUCUGGCAAGAUGACAAAUGGGUUGUGGUUGGAAAGGUAAUAUCUUCUGAACUGUUUGCUUCACAGUUUCUUCAUGUUACAUAGUGCAGCUUUGUGAGCAAAAUACUUAGUAGUGUUGAAGAUGUUCUUGUGAUAUCAAUGUUUCAUCCAAUAUCUAUUCUUUAUUUGAAUCUAAUAUUUAGGCGUUUCACUUUGAAUUUUUACUUUACUUUUUAAUCUGUUAUAAUGGCUAUGGAAUACACUUUUCACAAGUUGUUGUCUAGGUUGCUUUCAUGUGCUAAUGUCUUCUUCACUUUCUGGCACUCAGGGUUCAAGUCAAUAUGAUAAUGGAAAGCAAGGUGCAAUCUUGAGUCUAAAAGCUCAGAAAGUCAGUUUCAAGAAGUCCCACACUGCAUCCUCUCAGAAUCUGAAGAGAGGAUCAUCACACUUGCAAGAUGAAUCAUAUGGUGGAGCUACUGAGAAGUUUCGAGCAGUUGAGAGAGAAGGCAGGUGUCAAAGAGUCAUUGCUAGCAACUUAUCUAGGUUAGCUGAACAUGUAGAUGUUGCUUUGCCAAGUCGGAUGCUGGGUGGAAAAGAAAUAUGUGCUUCUCUGAACAACAGAACAACUGUAUUGUCUGAGGUUGAUUUAGUAAAGAGGAAACCGAGUGGUAAUGCUGGGUGUUUGUUUUCUGUUAACUUGAAGUCAGAUGAUGUUGAUACUGUUACGUGCUCAGUAGGUAGUUGUAGCAUCGGUAGCAAUGAUCCCUAUAAGUCACCUCAUCAUGUUUCUUCUGGUUCUACUGGAGAUUUCAAAGACCAGUUUUGUGAUGCUGAAUCUGUUUGUCACUUGGGAUAUGAGGAAGGAAACUCUGUCCUUCCCACAAAGAAAGAAUUGGCAGCUGAGAUCCAUAGGUUAGAGCUGCAAGCCUACCGUUGCACGAUAGAGGCAUUGCAUGCAUCAGGACCUUUAAGCUGGGAACAAGAAGAAUUGGUGACAAAUCUUCGUCUUUCGCUUCAUAUAUCGAAUGAUGAACAUUUAAUGGAGCUUAGAAACUUAAUUUCUGCAGAUAACAACAUUCAUAUUAGAUGACAGGAAAACUAGAAUUAUGUCUUGUGAUUCUUUUCUUCCUUCUAGGUGUAGAAUCUGAUGAAUGAUUUUCAUAAUGACCUGGCUGCACUGUAAGAAACAAGACGAGUUGUUUUCAUAUCCUUUUGUAUUUAGUUAAAACACAUAGUGGUUCAGAUCAAAGUUUAAACUCUAUGUAGUACAAACCUUUUUAAGUACGCAUCUUAUCAAAGACAUCUUUGAGUAUCAAUCAUUCUCUUCUGUUUGUCCUUUCGGGUUGUACUAAUAGCAAUAUCAUGAUUAUGAGAUUAAUUAUAUGUUUACUAUAGGAAGUUGCCUAUAUAUAUGUAACUUCUUAAGAUACUAUGGCUGAUUUCCUGCAAAUAAUCAACUUGUGAGUUUGAUUUGCCUAUGUUUAUUUUAUUUUUGGUCCUCUGUUUUAUUUGUAAAGCUUGCAGCGUUCUCUUAGAUGUUCUUGUCAUGAUAUAUAUGUUCCAUAGUUCAUAUGAGUACAUGACUUGAUUGUCUCCCAUCACUUGGAAGUAUGCCAUUUCAUUUGUGGACAAUUAUUUAUGCUUCCCCUGCGUUUUCCAGGGCCAAAGUAGGAGGUUUGUCCCCUUACUUUCAAGUCUCCAAAGUUGAUGUUGGGGAUUGCCAGCUUUCUCUCAGUUACAGGAUGGCUUAUGAUGCUGUAUUGCACUUGGUUCUGCAUUCUUCCAUUUCAGGCAACCUGUGAGCCUUAGAUGUCUGUUUUGCUGAAGGUUGUAAGACAAAAAUCUUCUGGCUGACACGGGAUGACCUGAGAUGUGGAUGCCUGAAAGGUUUUAUUUCAAACCUCUGCUUCAGCUCAUUCAUGUAUAUAGAUUUGACUUGCUGGUUUCUGUUUUAAUCUCAUUCUGUUAGAAAUUCAUCUUGUGAACACAGUUUGCGUUUCAUAUUGCUUUUCAUUUUAUGGUUCACCCUUCCCUUUUAUUUUUGGUGCCUUUCUUAUAUAGCCUGGAUACUGUAACUGCAUACAAGGGCAAUAUCUUGAUUCAGUCAAUACGAAACCAUGUCUAAAAUGAAGAGCAGUAGCAAGAAACCUUACCUUGGAUUAAGUUCUUCUGCUGAUAGACUUCACAAAUGUAUAGUAUGAAAAACUUGAUUUUUUCGUUAUUUUCAACUUAAGACUUAGAGUCAGUACUUCAAUCAGAUUUUGAGAUAAAGGAAAGACUCAAUCAUCUCUACUUGCUCAUAGGCCUACCUACGAUGCAACAUACUCGUUGGUGACUCUGAAAUUUGGAACUCAGACUUUUACAUUUAACUUCUGCAAAAGAUGCAAUAAAUAUAAUCUACACAUUUUUAUGCAUGCACAUCUGCACACAUGCCUCUAUGAUGCUUACAUGAGCAACUUGGACAUGGUUCAGAUUGUUAGCUCUAAACAUUCUUGUUGGGAGAUGUAUAAUCAAUUGACCAUAACUGCAGAGUUGGAAAAUGUGUUACUUUCAUUGCAUGGUAACUCACUUGAUAGCAUACAGGUUGCAUCUUACAGUGAUCAGCAAGAAUAUGUAAUUUGCUGUCAAAAUAAUCACUAGCCAAAUUGCGAACUAUCCAAGUUUCAGUAGUAAGAAGAUUUCAUGUCCGGACUGUAUAGACCACUGAAUUUCCUACUGCCCAUUCAUUAUACGUUUCCUUUUAAACUUAUCUGCCUGGUUAUGUUGCAUUGCUUGCUCCUUUGGUCCCUCUCAUCUGCUGCAAUAAGCUUUGGAGAUUGUAUAUUUAUAUAGUUAUUCAUUUGAACCACUGAGCAGAGUAUUGAAUAAAAGUGUUGCGGAUGGUAAAUUGGUAUGGGAAUAAACCUCAAGAUAAUAUUGUUAUUGAGCCUGAGCUACAUGGACUGAUGGACAAAUGAAAAUUUUACUUCUUGUGCAUAUUCCUUUUGGCUUGAAUGAUCUCAGAAAGUCUUUCCAUUCCUCCAUCCCAAGCUGUAUACAUAUCCCUUCUGUCUGUUGUGGCUUCAAAUCUUGAGUUACACAGCCCUGAGUUUCAGAUUUUACGGUUUCUGCUGCAGAAUUGUUCUUUUUGGUCAAUCCUCAUGAAACCAAGCAUAAAGCUGUGAAUGAUGUUAGUCACCCACCUGUAAGUCUGUAACAAGGCUUUUGUUUACUUUGGCAAGAUUGGAGGAUUGCGGAACUGGUAUCAGCUCUACUCGUUACUCACUAGUUUGUUCAAUCUGAUGCAACUAUUUCAGGAUCAUGAGCAUAGUUCAUUGAACUGCAUCAGCAAAAUCUUAUUGCUUUGGCAACUCAAAUAAUUCAGCUAAUAUUUUGUUUGUUCACAUAUGCAUUCCUCCUUGACAUUCUUUGGAUAAUCCAGUAGAAUUCUGAAGCCGGAUUUUCUUGUUUUUCGUACUAGAGAAGAUUUCAGAGAAUGCAACAGAAUAAUCCAGUGGAAUUUCAGACAGAUAUUCUUUCUCCUCUCUGAUACUACAGCUUAAUUGCUAUUGAAACCAACUGUAAGCGUCUUAAGUUGGUAUGCAUUUUGACAGAUGGAGCUUUAAACUUCAAUUGAAAGCUGGAAGUCUGGAACCUUGUCUGACAAUUUAAACCAGCAAGAAGAAUGCUUGCAAGUGAAAUUACCAUCUUUUGGGCUUUAUAUAUAUUUCUGGUACAGUGCGGAAUAUAAGAUUCUUGGGCUUUCAUCUAUGCAAUAUUGGAUUGAAAACCCACUUUCUUAGAUUCAUAAUGAGUCUCAUCUUCAUGGUACUGGUAUGACCUGGAAGAAAACUUGUCCAGAAAUCCAUCUUAUGCAUAUCUGCCUAGGGAUUCUUAGUAUCUUUUCUGUCACUUUUUAUUUUAGUUUUUCUUAGAAGCUGCACCAGGGCAUUUGUUUUCCUUUUUUCUUUUUUUUUUUGGACUAAGUCAAUCUCUAUUUCUAACAAUUACAGGUACAUAUCUUGUAGCAUGAUUCACAAGUUAUAUAUGCUUGGUAUAACCACUAUCUUAAUUACUAAAACGUGUUUGACUAUACAGAUAACCACAUGGCACUCUUCAAGUUCACAGACGCGUCCUGAAUAUAGUUUUGGCUCAUCUUCUCCAUCAGAAUCUUCAAGAGAAGCAAAGAGGCAAUCACACAGGUGUUGUUGUCACUGGAAUGAGCAACAGGGUUCCAAGGUGUCAUCCUUUCUUAAAUUUCUAGCAAGAAAGGCUCUUUUGGAUCAGCAAAAAAAUGUGUGGGGGUGGUGCUGCAUUUAUUUGGCUCCCACCAGAUCCUCCCUGCUAUUGUCUCACUCUCUUCUCCUCCAUGAUUGGGAUUCCCAUGUGAUUGUGCUCCUCCUCUAAACACUCAGACACUCAAAGAAAGAGAGAGAAAGAUAUAGACAGAGAUGUCCAGGUCUUGUUUGGGCUAAUCCUCCUUGAUGGUCCUCAGGGACCUUAACCUAUAGGAGUAGUACCAGUACCACUCCCACCUCCUCUCCUCAACAAUGUUUUAGGUGUGGCUACUAUCACUAUAUGAUGAUACAGAUGCAGAGCUAUUACUAUGAGCUAGCUUCUUUCACAAUUUUGGUUUGACAGAUACAUUUUGGUCCUCAUCUGUACUAAUAUCCCCAAUAUCGACACAUAACAUGGCAUUCGAAAAAACUAUCAAGUUGUUGUCAUUUCUAUAUAUAUUUAUGAGCUCCCCUUCCCCUAUACCUAAGCUGUACUACACCAUUUAUUGUUUUCAUUUCCCAUUUUCUGGUGUUGUGAUCUUACUUCGUGCCAUUCUCUAGUAAACAUGUGUUUGCUGUAUUCUAAACGAUUGGGGUGAGAGUUCAAUCAACUAGUUUUCGACUUUUCGUUUGUUUGGGAUCGAUUCUUUCCUAGUCUUGUAAUAUGAUGACCCUAGAGAGUGAUCAUAAAACAACCAUGUAAUCGUUAAACAUGUCAAGUGUGUUAAUUAUUGAUCGCGGAUUACACAUCAACAUUGUCACAUGAUUUCACUGUCGCACUGAAAAAUUUGAUGCAUCAGCAGGAGGGGAAAUUCAUGGUUCAUCAUGCUCUAUUAAAAAUGGAUUUGUUACAUAUCUGUCAUAUUUCCAAUACAACUAACAGAGACUUCUGAGCAAUCUCAGUAAUCAAAUGGUAGGUAAAGAUAGGGCAAAACAGUGAGAUAUGGAUGAUAUGUAGAACAUAAAGAAAGAGCUAGCAAUGGCCAAUCAUAUAAUGCAGAAGAGAAUUACAGAAGGGCAUAGGAGGCCGUUGGUCUAUGACAGACCGACAGCGUUGCAUUAAUCAAGGGCAGACAUUACAUGAGCCAGCUCAAUUGCUUUGGCAUGGCUGCAAAUUUGGGAGACAUUGGUGGGGGGAUUUACAUUAAUAUAAACUCAGCUAGCUAGCUAGUUUUGAUUCAUUAUAUUAGGGAAAAAAUAGAAUAUAUAUAUGACUCUGCCACAACCCUAGCUCCAUCUUAAACCAUUUUCUAGGGAUCUAUAAAACUCAUAUUUCUUAAUCUGGGUGAAGAGGGCAGGGGACAAAAAACCCAUUUCAAUUCCUGAGACAGGUCAAUUUUUCUUGCUCCUGACAGAUAUAUAUAAUCUGCUUGCAGUUCUUAGGGUUCAAACGGCUAGCUACUUGCACAAAAAGAAAACGAGGUUCAAAAUAACCUCAACUUUACUCCAAGUUUUUCUGCAUUGUUGUCUUGUAUAUAUUUUCAAAACCAUGGAGCUGCUAGCUAGCUUGACCUUUUGAGAUGGAUCCAUUGGAGAGGCUGGGUUUGUCAUCUAUCUCGAUGAGGGAGACAUUGCCUAGAUGUUAAUGUUAGAAGCAUGCUUUGUAAAUUAGAAAUAUAAGGGCCAAGAUUAGGACAUGGAUUACUAUAUAUGAGGGGAAGUGUUGCAGAUUAAACAAUGGGGGAGGAGAAUCAUGGGUACGUGAAAACAUUAUAUUCAUAGUUUUAUGUGAUUGGAGUAUCGUAAAGGCAAUUCUAGCUCUUCCUCAUGCCCCAUCUCUCACUCUCUUCUAUUCAGAUUUUCAGAUAGAAAGUAAAGCAAAGCAAAGAACACUUCACCCAAGAUUAAGGAAUGCGCAAUACAUGAUAAUGGUUAUGGUCCUUGUAGAGCUAGCUAGCUAGCACUUUGUUCUAGAUAAUUAAUCAUGCUUCGUGAUAAGGAAGAAUAAUCAGGUUAUAAUCACCAUUAAUGCCCUCAUACAUAUUCUACACCAUGCCCCUUAUGGAAAGCGAGUGCGAGAAAGACUAAUAUGUUGAUUUUAUAUUUGUUAUCUUAUCACUUGUUGUAUAUAACUAUCUAUUAUCUCAUUCUUGUUGCAUUUAUAUUAUGAAAAUGAUCACUGAUCUUUUGUAUUUAAGUCGUUAAAUAAGUUGUUUCAUUUAUGAGCUAAGUAGAUGUCGAAUUGAAGGUUAUGAACCAUGUAGAUAAGGAAAUUAGGGAUGAGUAAUGAGAUCACAUGCUUCUUGGCAUGCUCUUGAUUCCUUUAAGGCUUUAACAAAAGCUAAAAUACACCAAAAUAGAAAUUGAAAUAGAAUAGGGGAGAUUUGAUUUGUAGCUCCAAAGCUCCAAACCCACAUGCUACUUUGGGGACCAUCAAAAACCCCAAAAACUUAGCUACCUUCCAAGAGCAUGAGGAGAUCCCAAAAAGCAAUACAAAAAGAAAGAAAGGUUGUUACCAUUACAUUUCUCAACACAAACAAAUCUUACAAAUUAAACUAACAAUCUCAAAACUCAAAAAGCCCUAAAACCCAGAAAAGAAGAAUGUAUCAAAAAAGUGUGUUUGCAUGCUGGAUUCACAUUCACCUUUGCUUAAAUUCUUAGUUAACACAACAUUUCAUGCCUUGGGUACAGCAUGUGUCACUCCUCCUUGCUUUAGUAUACUAUUGCUUCUACUAACAAUACCAUAAUCUAAUCUAACCAAGAAUACAUUCAUUCUUAAAAUAUAUAACCUAGGGUAGCGAAGGAUUUUGAGCACCCCUAGUUAUUAUGUGUUGAAAAUUACCAAAACUUGUUGCAAUGUGAGAGAACAAUGGUUUAAAUUGUAUGCAUCAAGAUCAUUAUAUAUAGUUGUUGCCCUAAAUGGUAUUAGAAACCUAUAUACAUUAGAGUUUUAUACAUUGGGUUUUGAAUCUUUAACUUGCAGCCAUGUAUAAGAGCGUAUAUUGUAGAUAUAUAGACAGCUGCUAUAGAGUGAGCUAGAGUGUGAGCCAUAAAAUAAGCAAAUGUUGAUGUACGCACUAGUUUAUGUCACCAACAUUGCAACAUUUUCUUUCUUGGGUUCCAACAACUUGGUUUCUAAUCAACUAAACACUUCCAUCUUCAAAAAUCAGAAUUGAUCAUGCGUAAGAAAUGAUAUAAUAAACUAGUCGAUUCAUGUUUUGAAUCUCGGCCUUUCUAUUUUAAUCGUUUUGGUUCGGAAUUUAUUAGCAAAAUUAGAAACCAUUGAUGCAACCAAUUAAAUUAAAGAUUCAUUGAUAGAAACUGAUGGUACAAAACUUUGUAGCAACAGAACAGAAUAUACAUUACAUACAAACGAGAGAAAGGAUAGAAGAAGAAGCUAGCUACCUCUACUUGUUAGCAAUUUACUAAUUCCUAGACUGAGAAAAGAAAGCUUACAUGCCAAGGUUAAUACCUUUCCUUUGGUAAAAAACCAUGGUCAUGUUCAUGAGGGGGUCAGUAACGCUAGGUUAAAGGGAAUUCAACAUAUUACUCUUAAGAUAUAUGCCUCUUUAGCUCCUAUAGUUGUAUGAAAACCCAGCAUAAAAAGAAAAAAAAAGACUGAAGAAAAUAAAAAAACCAAAUUGAGUAAAUCGACCAAAUGGGUAUUUCAGUCAAUUACUUUGGGAUCCUAUACCCGCACUCACACACAAAGGAUUGGUAUGCAUAGGAGUAGAGCCAGAUCAAGACGCUUGAUCUUUUCCUUGAUCUUGGGGGAGACGUUGAAAGAUGACGGGUGCACCAUAUUGAGGGUAAAGCAUCAUCAGGACCGUUGGUGCGUGUUGAUAAGUGGGAGACAUCUUAAACGAGAACCGUUGAAGCAUGAUGGCCAGGGCUAGUUUCGCCUGCAAGAGCGCUAGAUUUUGCCCAAUGCACGUGCGGUUGCCGAGCCCGAAAGGAAUGAACGCCACCGGAUGCUUGGCGGCCCGAGCCACCCCGUCCGCGAACCUGGCCGGGUUGAACUCAUUCACGUCAUUUCCCCAUAAGGCUUGAUCAUGAUGAACGGCCAAAAUUGGGAUCAAAAGCUCGGUCCCACGGGGGAUCUUGUAUCCCCCGAGCUCCACAUCCGUCCUCGACCGUCGGAUCGUCGCAACCGUGGGCGGGUACAACCUCAGGGACUCAUUGAGGAUCAUAUUGAGCUGCAGACAAUAAUUUCCAAUGUCACUUAACAAUUGUGGAAUGCCUAAAAUACCCUUACGUGCUUAAGACACAGGUAAGAUGAUGAAGCAAAAAAGGUGGCAGUUUGUUUUUUGUUAUGAGGAAACAAACAUGGGGGUAAAGAGACAAGACAUGAUUUUUGUCCUAAUGUUUGCUUACCGUCUUGAGCUUUACGACAUCGUCUUUGGUGGGUAUGUCACGUGAUCCACACACCCUGAGCACCUCGGCACGUGCCUGCAGCUGCCACUGUGGGUGCAUUGCCAAGAGAACCGUCGUCCACGUCAGCAAAUUGGAUGUGGUUUGGCUGCCAGCAAAGAAGAAGGCCUUGCACUCUUCCACAAUGUCGUUCACAGUAAUGGGGUCAAUGUCGGACGAUGAGGAUGAAGCAGAAUCCGAGGCCUGAAUCAUAAGCCCUAGUAAAUCCUUGGAACAUUUUCCGUUCACGUUCUUCAUCGAAUUCUCCCUCCUCAAAUCGAUCAGCUCCAUGAGCUUUUUCCGGAUUUCUUUGUCCAAUUUCCACGAGUUUAUGUUCCGUCUAGUGGGUAGAAAUCUAAAAAACGAAUUAAAUUGUUAGUAACGUUUAACGACAUAACAUGACAGACGGUAAUUUUUAUUUUUAUUUUCGUGUAAGGUAACUUACCUAUGACCGGGGAUGAAGACUUUUUGAAAGGCCUCGGCAACGAAGAGCACUUGCUCAGCUUGUAGCCGGAAAAUGGCUUUGCCGUCUUCGUAGCUGGUACCAAAUGCAGUUCGGGUAAUAAUGUCUUCGGUUAGGGUUUGGAACGAUUCGGAAACUUCAAUCUCAACCUCACCAGAGUCGGACGACAUUGCUGACCAUUUGUCCAUCAUGUCCACCAUACUCGUUGCCAUGACAGGUAUGAGUAACUGAAAAAUCAUUGAUCAUCAAAAUUAAUGAGAUUGGAAUUAUUACAUGUCACAAUUAAUAAAGAGAUGAACUUCAUGAGAGUUACAUACCUUGAGAUUCUCCAUAUGAAAUGUAGGGGUGAUGAUCUUUCUGUGGUGAGCCCACUUCUCACCUUUGAGGCUCAAGAGGCCGUCGCCUUCGAGUUGCUUCACAAGAGGGUGAGCCUCAUUUUUCUCAUAGCAUUCCGACUUAGAAGUGAACACUUCUCGGAUGAGAUCGGGGUCGGAGACGGUGAGACGAACUGUUGGUCCGAACCACACAAGAAAUGAUGCACCUGUUUUAAACAAGAUUUAUGAUUAGCUAAUUGUACAAUUAGUUAGUUAUAAGCAUGGAAUGGAUAGUGUAGACCCUACAAUGGGGGAAGAGAGAGAGAGAGAGAGAGAGAGAGACAAAAACAAAGAAAGUAGAAGAAGGAAGAAGACAACUNNANANANNACAUAUAAGACAAUAACCAAACAGAAUAACAUACAUACAAGCUUACAUUAGGGACGUCCAGGCCCCAAAUGAAACAAACGAAAGAGGACGACAAUANAAACAANAAAGAAAUAAGAAGACUACUACUCCACCAAAACAAAAAUUAAAGUAACAAACAACAAACUAAACUUAAUUAGUUAAUAAGUAGUACGUACACUUCUUNUUAGAAGAANAGUAGUAGUAGUACUAACAACGAAGGAGAGAGAGAGAGAGAGAGAGAGAGAGAGAGAGAGAGAGAGAGAGAGAGAGNGNGANGNANAGAGNNAGAGAGAAGGAGAGAGAAGAGGGAAGAAAAACAGAUAGCUAGCUGUGGAAAAGAACAAAAUCUGAACUUCAACAUCAACCAUCCAAAAAGCUCAGAAAAAGCAGCCUGAAAAAGGCUGAAGAAGAAGUACCCAAAACUAAAAAUGAGCCUUUUCUAAAAAGCCUCAAAUUCUGAUCACCAUCUCAAACCAAGCUAAAGGAACAAUCAUGCAUAGCAGCUACAAGCUAGCUACCAUACCCAUCACUACCACUUUAAUCAUUCAACUUCAAGACUCUAUCUUUCUGCAGUUCUUCUUUUUCUCAAACACAGAAACCAAAGAGAGAAGAAGAAGAAGGCUUAACAGACACAUGAAUGCAAUACCCAAACCAAGAAAUCGAAAACCCAGUUGUGAAAACUUGGUUUCUUCUUCUGCUUUGUUCAGGUUAUAAAACAAUGAAAACCAUGUGAUCAGAGAGAGAGAGAGGGAGGGAGGAUAAUUACCAUAUAUUUUUUUCCAGUGAUGGUAAAAAGGGAGGACUCUGGGGAGAAUAUUGUGACAGGAAGAAGGCAUGGUAUGAGCAGAGGCCUUGAUCAUCAUCCCCACAAGCUCUUUGACAUUUCCAAUGAAGAACUGAUAAGGAGGUCCUCUGAUCCCUUGCCUUGCAAAAUGUUCCUCAAUUCUUCUGGGCCUCCACCAAAGCAGCACCAGAAUCCUCAGACCAAACACUCCAAGAAUGAAACACAAAGACACAAACUUGAGCCAGGACAAUAGCUCCAUGUUGAUGAUCACUACCCUCUCUCUCUCUCUCUCUCUCUCUCUCUCUCUCUCUCUCUCUCUCUCUAUCUCUUCCUAGCUCUCCUGAGUCUUGCGUCUGUUACUUGAAGUGUGUCUUGGUUUUAAUACUAGGAAGAGAGUAAGAGAGAGAGAGAAGAGGAGGUGGGUUUUUAAUUUUUAGGAGGGAGAGAGAGAAGGAGAGAAGCAAAGCAAGGCCAACGGCGUAGGGGCCGCCAUUGGAAUUCUAAAGGGUCAACGAUUGAGAAGGGAGAGGAGGAUUUUGUUAAUGACAUUUCUGUUAAUUCUUUGAUGACAAUGUUACCCUUUUCUUUUCUUCUUAGUAUUAUUAUAUCCCACAACUACAUUUUCAAAAUUAUUUAUUUUCUGAUUUUAUUGAAAAUAUCAUAGCCUUUUCUUUUUCGAAAAACCAAAUUUUUUUUGUUGAAUAAUGUAGUGGGCAUGGUGAUGAACAUUCUAAUGUAAGAAUGUUCCCAGCUUUAUGAGAAUUUCGAUUAUCAUUUUAUAUUGACAUAAGCUAAUCAAAAUCUAAUAUAUGGACUAGUUAAAAUAUAAGCUUUACCCAUAACUAGGAUGACUCUUGCUACCCCAAGUUAAAUGGAAUACUUGUGUGCAUUUCUUCUAACAACUAUUAGAGGGAGCAUUAGUUUCAAUUUUAAACCUCCCUAGGUUGUUAUUUGGAAGUUGGAACUCUAGAAAGUUAAUUAUAACUUAUUAAUGGAAAAGCUUCAUAAUGGAAAGUAAUUAACAUGGUUUACCUUAUUGCAUUUGGCAAUUCACUAUACAUAGUAACAUUGUAUUCAACCCAUUACACUAUAUUGAUGUAUAACAUUCUAGUUUGAUAAUGAAACUAUAUAUCUAACUAUAUAUGUGCAUAACGUACGUGUCAUUACCAAGUCUUAAUUUGCCCAAAUCAAUAAACCUUAUGGAGACAUGGAAAGAAAUGUUGGAUGUUCACUUACAUUAUUGCUUUUAUUAAUUAUCUCAAUAAACACCACAUGUUUGUAUUAUGGACAUAAUUUAGAAUAAAUAAAUAAAUAAAUAUUGAGUCAACUCCAUAAUUUAUAUACAAUGCUAAUAACCCAUGUUCCUUAAACCCAUAAUUCAUCUUUUGACAUUGAAAUUGAAAUAAUGAGUGAUGGAGCAAUUCGACACCAAUGUCUAUAGUUUAUAACUUAGCUUCUCAUAUUACACUAAUUAAAGAACUUGCAGCAGGUUUGUUACUCCGAAUUAAAGGGGAGCGGACAAGACUGGGUAUUAUAAAGAGUCCAAACCCGUGUUCGGCGACAACAAGGAUUCACUUUAACGAGGUUAUGGAGUCCCUGAGAUCCCCGCACACCGUCUUCCAUAGCGGCCUCAAAAUUGAUGGGUUUGUGGAAGCUAGCCCCAUCGCUGUUCUUUUCGCUUGUGUCAAUUCUUUCUCUCGCCUCCCUACAGUUAAUAGAUCUCCUCCGACGAGCCGAUUCUGAUGCAUGAAAUCAUAAGGAGUCUUCGAGAACAGAGACAAGGAAUACGAAAAUUUCACAGGCGAAUUUUAGCUCUAUGUUUUGAAAUUCGAAGUCGGCAACUCUCAAAUCCCUUUGGGUUCCAUGAAAAAAGGGCUUUCGAUCACCUCACCACAUAGUAGCUAAGGUAUGAAUGAUUUUGUGUUACUGAAAUCCAGUUCAGGUAUUAAGGGAUGAUUUUUACGAUUCGAAUCUGAGUUCGAAUUUUUUUGGGUUAUUAAAUUUCUGGGUUUCUGAACACUGAAUUUUUAGGUUUGAGAUUUUUGUGAUGUCAAAUUUGUGUGUUUCUGGGUUCUGUUUUGCAACUAAAGGCUAGAGAUUUAUGGGUUCUUUUACGUGGUUGCAGGUUAGAGUUGGUGGUGCUAUUUUGAUUGCUUCCACCAAACAUGGGUUAAGCUUACUCUAGAAUAAGCUCAACUUAAGGAGUGCUGGACUCCUAUAGAAUUUAAGCAUGGGUUAGACAAUCCUUUCUAACAAACAUGCAGUCGUAGUAUUAUAAAGAGAAGACUUGUAACAAACAUGCAGUUGUAGUAUUAUAAAGAGAAGACUUUUAGACGAUAAUAACUGAAUAUGAACGCACAUAUACAUACGUUACAAACAUUAUAAUUUGAGGUAUCUUAACUAAUAUUGAUAACUAAGUCAAUUUAUAAUUCAUCUUUCGACAUUAGAAUAAUUAAUGGUAACCGAUUCAACACCUAUAUUUAUAGCUUCCAACCUGACGCGCACGGGAAAUUAUCGUAUUAUAAAUAGAAAACUUUUAGUCACCAUUAAUAUAAUGUAUAAUAUAUAUGUAUAUUUUCAUACGUUACAACUUACAAACUUAAAAAUAUGAGUGGUCCUCAUACGUUACAAUUAACAAACAUGAAAGUCUGGACAUCCCUAAAUAUUAUCGAUAACAAAGUUAAAUCAUAAAGAAUAACACAAACCACCGCAAAUACAUGUGUGCUAAUCACUAGAAUAUGACCGAUCGAUAUAGAUAAAUCAACAUGACUCAAAUAUAUAUUGAUGGAAUGAUGGAUCAAGCAAGGGUAGAUAGCUACUUGUAAAUAAUUAACCAUGGUGGUUCCUUGAAGGGGGAAGGAUAUAUGUAGGGAUUAAUGUUCAUAGAAAUUGAAGUGGUACAGUUCCUUUCCUAACUUCUUCCUUGUUCCCAGGAAGAUGAUUUGGGAGUGUUAGGAACUCAAGGAGAAGGAGAGAGAGAAAGAGAGAGAUGAGAGGAGAAAGGGAGCACAACACAAAGAAGGUUUUGGUUUUGGAAUGUUGCUCUUAAAUUUGAGCACAUGGAAACAAGGCUGUCUAUUUUAGGGUUUCUUUUGUGUGGUUUGGGUGGGGAAAUAUGCUCUAGUUGACCCAAACAAUGGGGUACCCACGCAAAGGCAUCCUCUCCUAAUCCUGUCCUAAUAAACCCAAGACAUGUUGGCCCAUGUGCCCUUCAAAGGGUCCCUACGGAUUUAAAACGCAAACUCAACUGUAACACUUCGACAUCCAUGGAUGAUCGAGUUCGAGUAUAUACCUGCAUGCUGGCCACCAAGUUCAUCAUCUUCAAUUCUUCAUGCCCCAAAAUUCGACAAAGUAACCGUUCACAUUAACCUCUAAUCAAUCUGACCAUCACCACAAAAAAAUACAAAGUUAAUUCAUUGUGUAGGAACGUUGUGUCUACCCAUAUAUAUGCAAUACAUAUACUGAAUAAAGACAAAAUGACACAUAGUUUACGAUAACUUAUGCAGUUUGAAAAUGCUGUAUUAAGUAUUGAAUUGGCGAUCUAUAAAAAUUUCUUGAAUGUGAUGUCGAGUUAUGUAGUUGUAUAUGAACUAGUGUGAGUGCCUUAAAAGAUUAUAUGAGGUGAGGAGACUAUAAAAAUUUCUUGAAUGUAAUGUUGAGUUAUGUAGUUAUAUAUGAACUAGUGCGAAUGUCUUAAAAGAUCAUAUGAGGUGAGGAGACAAGGGCAAGCGCAAUACAUGUGUUUGUGGUAUUAUAAUAUACGUAUAAUGACGAUCUCCUGAAGAAUACGCUAAAAUGGACACAUAUGCGUUAAGUGAUCGAUAUGAAUGUCUAUAAACAUUGUAUACACUAUAGAAGGGGCAAGAGCACACACGAUACUUGUGUUGUUUUGUACAAGUCGAUCAUGAUAAUCAAUUAAGAGUUUUAUUUUUAUUUUUAAAAUGAUCAGUUAAGAGUUCAGACUUGUCAUGUAUAUAAAUGAAGAAAUGAACGAUAUUUCCGUUUGUAAAGCUAAAUUAAAUAUGAAAGUGAAUGUUAAAGAACGUUUUUGUAUGUUUGGAGAGUACGUUUAGUUAACAAUAUAACACAACUAAACAAGCAGUAUUAAUUGGAGCUAAGAAUCGACUAGGGAGUUAAUAAGAGCCGUCAAUCAUUGUACAUCAAGUUUAAUCAAAAGGCUUAUAUAGAAGAGUAAGUGUGUGUCAGCCUGUGUGAGAGAAUCGAAAUUCUUAAGCAAGAGCAUCGAAUUGAAGCUUUCAAGAAAGAUCUGAACUUGUCCUUGAAGGCAUGUUCACUGUCUAACUUUAGUUAGAUAUGCAGAGAGGUGAUACAAUCAUACAAAUCAAACUUUAAAAAGUAGUAGGGCAAAUACAGAAUCGAUCAGAAGCUAUAGGUAUACUUGCAACCAUAAUUUUCACACUGCACAAUCAAAAUCCCAAAAGGACAAAGCAGAAUAAGCAAUCACUUAAACGAGGCCUGGAGUUUUCGAAAAUGAACAAAGUAAUAAUCCAACAAGGAAAGGCUGCAGCUAACUGGUGAGGUACCUUUGCUUGCAAAACUUGUUUAUUAAAUGCAUUUUUCUUUUCUUAUUUUCCAACCUAUAUAAGGAUCUGAAAUCUGAAUGGUACCCAGCAGAAAAACCAGAAGAAGCAGAGAUCAAUCAAUAUGGUUGUGUCCCAUUAUGUUUAUAGCUUUGUGCUGUCACUUCAUGAAAGAUGGAUGUAUAUGCAUAUUUCACAAUGUGAGAACAAAGUUUAUCUACUAGUUCGUGGCUUUUCUUUUUCUGUUCUGAGUUCUAUCGAGUUUGUGGUUCCUUAAUGCAAAUUACCAGCAUUUUUCUAGAAGAAAAUGAAAUUAAAACCGGAACCUCUACAACAACUGAAACCGGAAUGAAAACUUAUUACAAGUGUUCAGUAACUAUUUUCUUCACAUAUACUUGAAAUGAAAACUCAGAACAUGCAUGUUUUCUAAUUGAGGAGCAAAAAUGAUAUUGGCGACUUAUUUUUAAUUGUUCAUUUCAAAUAUUAUAACUUUGUAAGUCGAACUCACAACAUCCCACUUACUAAGAGGAGACUAUGUCGCUAAACCAAAUGGUAUUAGGAUUUGAAUUAUUAUAAUUGAAAAACAUUCUUUUAAUUUUACACAUAUCAUGAAGAAAAUGUGAUUAAACGUAAAAAAAAGGGCUCAAAUAGCUCCAAACUUACUAAUAAUAAUUCUUGAAAGAAAAAACAAAUAGACAAUUCCAUAAUUGAAUUAUAAGUUUGGACAUUCCGUUCUCUCUAAAUUCUAUCUCAUGCAGUAUAUCACUGCAUAUAAAUGAUUGAACUAGAUUUAUUGGUAAACUUUGGAGCAAGUGCAUGCCAUGUAAAUAAUUGACAAUAAUUGAAGCUAUGCAAUCACUAAUUGUUUUAUUUUUUCCCCCUCCUUUCUCCUAGCUACAAGAUAGAUAAGAAGAGCCUUUAGAAGAAGGUGAUAAAAAAGAUUUAGUUGGUAAAGACAAGUUACAAAGAGCAAAAGAUGGGAUCUUGCACAUAUGAUUAGAUUACAAAUCCCACCCCCACCAUAUCUUAUAAUCUUUUAUCUUAUAAUCAUAAGUCACCGCUCCCCUAUAUUCAUCCUACAAACAAGGAUAAUGAUAUGCUGCUAAUAAUACACAUGUCAUUCCACAUAUGGACAUUACAUCUUGAAUAAGUUGGUUAUUAACUUAAAACAAUUUGAGGUUUUGACCUCAAUUAUGAGAAGCUUAAUUGGAGUAUCCAUAGGUACUCAUGCCAAAUCCGAAUCCGAUUUGAAUGAGAAAGACUUGGUGAUCUUUCGAGUUUUUCAUCCAAGUAAUUAUGCCAAAGGGUAAUCACAAUAUUUGAUUUGAUAACGCGCACUUCGGGUUAGUUUAGAUAGAAAGAUGGUCUAAUCAAUCAAAGUGGACUUGUUUUUGAUCACGAUCAAAUUAAAGAGGCAUGCGCAUACGCAUGCUUUUUGCAAACUCUUUUGCAAAAUAGCACUAUUCGUGAUUUAUGGUGAGUUCAUUAGAUCACUUUGAAUGAGUUUGUUAGGAUAUUUUGUUCUCUUUAAGUUGAUUUGUAGGGAAAAUGAUGUAAUUCAUCAAUCCUUUUCUUGCUUUCCGUCCUUAUAGUUUUGUAAAAGAGCAAAAUUAAUUAUGUUGAGUUCUCAUCACUUUAUAUGAGUUGGUUAGAGAAUUUCCGCUCUUUGAAUUGACUUGUUGGGAAAAUGAUGUAAAUCAAUAUUUUUUUAGUUUUUCUGACUUUCUUUUGUUGUAAUAAUGAGGUUAAGAAUAACCGAAAGAAAACAGGAAUAUGUGUACAAAUCGAAGUUUAUAAUUAAACACAUAAAAUCAUAUUUCGUACUUUCUAUAUCAGAAUUUGAAUGUAGUUUUGCUCAUAUUCCAUUGUCAAAGAAUUAAUGCAAUGCUAACCCUGACAUCUAUUAAAGCGACUACUAAACCAUAUGUCAAGUUCAUGCAUAUUGCCACGCAUUCAUAAUGACAACAAAUUAUAAAAUCUUCCAAUGUGUAACGAAUUGACUUAUUAAGAACUAAAACUAUUACCCCAUGUUCUCUUAUUUGUUUCUUUUCCCUUGAUAUUUUUGCUAUCUUUUCGUGGGUUUAGGUACUAUGUCCUCUCUGUCGUAAAAAUUUAAUAUUAUUAUAAUAAAUGAAACUGGGCAUAGAGAUGAGCCUUCCAGCUAGGCUGAGUUUCAAACCCGUUCAAAAAAAAAACAAAGUCCUAGAGUAAAUUUGCAUAAAACCCCAGUUGCCAUGAUUAGAAGCUUGAAAUGGGAGCUUUAUAAUUUUUUUGACAAAUUCUAAUUUCAAAAAGAUAUAUUGCGUCACAUGAUCUAUGAAUAACGUGUUUUCGUCCACGCAAUCAACGGUGUGACGGGUCUGGACUGAGAGAGAGCCUCCAAGGCGCCAGCUGCAUCACCAUCCAUGUCAAAUACUUUUCCCGCCACGUGUCGGCCAAUCAUUGACUUCCUCUUAAACUUUGUCCGCAUACGGAAGCCAUUUCGUUACAUCAACUCAAGCUUUUGGCAGCUUCAGCAUCGCUCAAAAUUACCAUAUCACCCUUCAUGACACUUCUUUUUGCUAAUCAGGUCCCGAAUUUCCUUAUUAUGUCACCGAAAAUGAACAUCAGGAAAAGGAGAGAUUAACUAAAAGUUAGAUAACUACAUGGUGUGGUGAAUUUAGUCGAGCAGCGUAGAAUGAAACUCUCAGAUCUAGAGUUCGACUUCCAUACCUCACAAGUUUGAGACCAACGUACAGUCUUUAUGGGUUUUUAGUUUCGUGCGUAUGGUAGAACGAGAUAUUAAUCUGAUUUUGUUGUGAUCUAAUUAUCGACAUUUGUGGCAAAUACAUAAAGAUGCAUGCAUCGUCCUAUGAAGCAAACAAAGAGUAAUUAAUCAUUAAUACUUUAUGGGUUUUUAGUUUUGUGCGUCUGGUACAACGAGAUAUUAAUAUGGUUUUGUUGUGAUCUAAUUAUCGACAUUUGUGGCAAAUACAUAAAGAUGCAUGCAUCGUCCUAUGAAGCAAACAAAGAGUAACUAACUAAUCAUUAAUACUUUAUGGGUUUUUAGUUUCGUGCGUCUGGUACAACGAGAUAUUGAUUUGGUUUUGUUGUGAUCUAAUUAUCGAUAUUUGUGACAAAUAUAUAAAGAUGCAUGCAUCGUCUUAUGAAGCAAAUAAAGAGUAAUUAAUCAUUAAUAAAUCUAAAUUUGAUCCAUCUUAGGGUUAAUACUGUUGAUGAAUUAUUCGAAAAGGAUGGACAAAGACGCAUCGAUCUACCACUCUAGGUCUUUAGCUACUCUACCCAAACAACAUGCAAUGUUUGGAUUUUGUUUGUCUUGGUUCAAAUCAGAUAGUCAUUGAUUUGAAGUUUGUCUGAUAAGAGUGUUAGAAACAACAAUAUCACACCUAACUAGCUAGGGCUUAAUACAGAUAAUGAAGAGCUAAGAGCCUAAGACAUGGUUUUUCACCAGGAAAAGAACGUAGUAAUGGAAACCCUAAGCCUAACGAAGCCGACAAGGGCAGUGUUGGAAAACCACAUCGAUCGAAUCGAUCUCAUGCAUCACUGCAUAUAACAAAGCAAACUGGGCAAUGGCAGGUGAGGUUUUGUCUUCAACUUCGAGUAUGAUCGAUCGAAGAGAUAACAACCUCUGGCAGUAAAGAAUCACAGAAUCACAGGCAAGUAGAGAGGUCUCAGGUCCGUACUACACAUACUCUUAUCGAACCCUCGUGAUUCAAGGGUCAGUUUUUUCCCCACUUUAUCGAUCACUUACAAACCCUAGAGUACUGUUGCUGCUGCUAUCUGUGAUGUCCAUCUCAAUACCUUUUAAUUUCUUUCUACCUUCCCGAGAGACUUUUCUCUCUUUUAAUUUCCUUCGAUCGAUUCUCAUCGCCAAUGAGAUGAACUAGCUUGUAUAUAAGUUUAUUGAUUUCCAUGCAUAACAACAACAAGUAACAAUUGGAAGCACAAAGCGCCACAGUUCCAUCAAGAAAAAUGUCAUAUAUAUGUUUUGUCUCUAUAAAACCAUCUUUGUCCGUCGAUGUCUCUUCCCAACAACCAUGUCUUCUAAUUUGUAAGCCUCACAAACCCUUGAUUGCCACCCUUUGAUUAGUUCACUGCUUAGUUAAUUAUCUCCUCUCUAGACAAUAUAAUUCUACUUUUCUUGGUUUGGAUAUUCAAAAGAGAGGGAGUGAGAUCGAGGCACAUGUUGUUGCAUGGCACAAAGAAAUGUUAGUUUUCACCGAGUACAGAUUAGGAAUAUGUUGGAGGAAUGUUUACUGUCAAUCAUGUGACACAAACCCUAGAAUAUUAGCUUAGACUAUUCCUUUCAAUUCAUAUAAUUGGAUCACUUUACUAGUUAAUCCUUCUUGUGAUGAUCGAUCAAGUGAAAAUCAUCCGUAGAAUUUGUUAUGAAGAAAACCAGAAGUGAAAGUAAUAAGUAAAAGGGGAAUCACAAAUAUAAGUUUAUCCAUCACCAGCUUUUGCAGGAUUCUCACAAGAAUAGAGACCAUUGCUACUCAUAAUUACCACAGCAAGGGCAAGUCAUUCCAAAGAUAUGGAAAUAUCAUCACCACGCUUUUGAAAUUCUUCAAAGGUAAUAUUCAUGAACACAUCUAGCUAGAUAUUAUAUUUAAGUUAGCUUCAAGGCUCCCUCACAUACCCGUAAAAUAUUAAGGAAAAUGUUACAAUAAUAGCCUAGUUACAUAAUGUUCAGCUUACAAUUCAAAUUUGGGAAUGGUGUCCAAAAUUGUGAACACAAAUGUGAAAUAAUAAUGGCAUGCAAUCCCAAAUUGGCCUUUCGGAAAAUGGCCUCCUCAUCUUAGAAAAAGGGUAACUUAAUCUCAACAGCUAUCUAAGCAAACAAUAUUUAAUGAAGACCAAAAGUCAUUGGCCUUUCUAAGUGUCUAAGAGUGACUUGAAAUUGAAAGAAAUGUUAAAGCAUAUAUAUGUGGAAAAUUGGAAAUCCAGAAUGCCAUCGGAUCAUUAUUGAUCAGUCCCAAUUAAUUUAAGCAAAGACAGAGGGGUAGGGGAGGUGAAAUAAGCCACUGUGAUCAUCAGUGUUGGCAUUGAUUCAGGUCUGGCUAUAUUAUAACAGAACAGUAGGAGGAGGAGGAUGAGGAUGAAGAUGAAGACGAAGACGAAGAUGAAGACGAGGAAGGAGGAGCUAGAAUUAUAUAUAUGCAUAUACAUAUAGACAGUGACAGUUGCUUGGUACCCUCUCCUAUUCAUGCCAGUCCCGUUACGCGUAAGCACAAGCUGGCAUUGCAGAACAUGUCCUGCUCUGAUCCAAGUUUACAUGAAAAUGAAGUACUGUUAUAUACUGUGUGGUUACUUCGAGUGCAGGCCACCCUUGGCCUUAGCCUGACUAAUGCUACAAAUGAAUGAUAUGAAUUCCUUCCUCUCCCUCCAAGUGUGAUCUGUGAUCAUCAUCAUUCAUGCCCCUCCUUGCCCUACCAUGGAAGCAUAUAUACAUGAGUAUUGAAGCAGAUGAGGCCUAGCUAGCUUUGGCAGUUAAAUACUUAUGCUCCCUCCCUCCCUUCAUCUAUUUGAAUUUCAUAUCUACUCAUAUGAUGGGCCAAGUGACGAUGAGUCGCAAUCCUCAUUCACUAUUGCACUCAAACAUAUCACCUAGCCAGGACUAACAUAGACAGGUAGGUAAAUGCAUAUACGUACACAGUAUUUCACUUUUCCAAUGCCGAUUACUAAAGUUUAUCAACUCUGUCAAAAAAAUGUACAAAUGGGGUGAGUUUUUUUUUUGCGGGGUACUAGACAUAAAUAAAAAUUGAAGAGGGCAAUGAUAGAUUAUAUACAAUAUAGCAAGCAAUAUAUAAAACAGAAAAAGAAAGUCCGGAUGGAGCCAUUUCACCAAGAGAAAGCAAGACAGAGAAGUGAUUGCUAGGAGAGCCCAUUCAUGGAUAAUAGCAAUGGAAACAGACUUUUCGAAAAGAUAUGACUCAUGAGAGGAAGAGGGCUUUAUGCAGUUUGCAGCAGCGGCAGCUUCUACUUAGCUUUGGAACCGAUAUCACAUUCCUUGUGGACCUGCUUGUGCUACUAGUGCUGCUUCUGAUAGCCCACAUUGCCUAAAGCCAGACACAUUGAUAUCACAUAUCUUAUGAAGCCAAACAAUCCGACCACCUACCGACAACGAAAGCCACCUUCAUUUCAAAAUCGACGAUUUACCAACUCCAAAGGGCCACCCCCGCUUCUUUACUUAGUCGUUUAGGAAUAUAUGUGUUAUCUACUGAGCUUCAAUAUCUUUGAGGACCUUGUGGAACUUGAUAAUAGAUAGGGAUAUAGAGCCCCCCUGAAGUUUUGGACAGUGUCGAGGUCAUGAUGGACAAGAGAGACAUGGUGGCAAAGUUAGGCUAAGACUAACAGCUUUCACAAUUCACAUGCAUGCCCCCCUUCCACUGUUCUAUAGCGAGUCCCGGUUGGAAUGAUGUAGAUGUCCCAGUAUUACCCAGUGGAAUCCCCAUAUAAGAGGGUCAGUUCUGUUUCGAGUAGUUGCUUGGAAGAGACAUGGAAAAGGACUAGUCCUCCUGCAAUUGGGAAAACACACUAGGGUGAGACCGGGAAGCCACUAUUGUCGUUUCAAUGAAGCACAAGCACGCGUACUAUUCACUAUGCUUGCUUGCGCCAAGUGGCUUUUUCUUUGGGUCCUUGCCUCUGUGCCUUUUGUGCCUUUGUGCUCGGUGCUCCCCAAAACCAAGAGGAUCGGAUCAUUAGGUUUGGUGACAAGGCAGUUCACUAACAAAGUAUUGAUAGAAGUCUCAAUUUCAACUAAAAAGGUGAAAAUGAAGUGAGUCUUCAGUAAAUUAUUGUGACACCGUAAGUACAAUGUUUAAUGCAAUGUGAAGAGUUUAAAUUUUACAUUGAUAUUUCUACCCUUUACCAGAAGAAUUUCUCAAGAAAACCAGAGAACAUGUAUGUAUCUCUUUGGCGUUUGGCCAUGUGGACUUCACAUGUUAUGGUUCUCAUGAUUAUGUACUGUCUGAGACAGUUAACUGAUGUUUUCUUGUUCCUGGUUUACAAAUAGCACAAACACAAAAACACAUCACUGCAGCACUGCUACACAAACAAACCAAAACACAAAACCUCUUUCGAGUCCUAAGUCCUAACUAACUUGUGACAUGAGGACAGACCUGAAAGUACUACUACCACCAUAGCAAAUGCACUUGUUAUUGCGACAUCAAAAGUUCAAAACAGUGUACUAGGAAAAUCAACAUCAAUCAUCAACUAAGCUCAGACAAUCAUGUUCCUCAUCUCAGUCGGGUCAUUAAGCAAUCAACCUUCGCAGACACAGUCUCCGUCUUAUCAUACUCCGCACCGACACUAAUCAUCUGCCAUAUUGCCGCGAGUUAAGGCUCACCUCCGCCAAUACUGUUUUAUUUCCACAAUGGAGCAGAUGCAAUCUUCAUUCAUCAUGGUCAAUAUCGAAAUUGCUGUGACGUCGCAGCGGGUUAACCCUCACCUCUAGAAACACUGUUCUAUUUCUACAAUGGAGCAGAACAAUCUUCGGAUUACCAUAGUCACCGUCGACAUUGUAACCAGUUAUGAUGUUGCACUGGGGUUCAGCUCACCUCCAGCAACACUGUUCUAUACUUCUAUAUCUAAGUUGGUUAUUCCUUGCUCGGGAAGACCCCAAUCCCACAAGCCCAUUAGCACAGCGCAACUACUGCAAUAUUCAAAAUCCAUUAAAGGCCCAGUGCGUAUUGCUCAUAAAAGCCUCUUAUCUAUGACGGAUUCACGCCGACAACUAAAUUGAAGAAAGCCAAGCGCAAACCCAGACAGCAAAUGAGGCAAAGAGAUUGAAGCUGUGCAACCAAGCAAUCUUAGAACUGCUCAUUUGGGAUGCAGCAAAUUUGAACAGGACAUAGAGAGCACUCAAAAGAUAAAACCAGUAACAAAAUUUCACAAACGAUAAAUAACAUUAGCCGAAGUAACAUCUUAACUAAAACGAUGCACUGUAUUCAAUACAUAAGAGAAGUAAAUCCAAAUCCUGCUUAUAUGGCAGAAAUUUCCAAAAGGAUCGCGAAAAGAAACAAUGGAGAUUGAAUGAAGCAAAGACUUCCUAACAAGGACUCUAGUUGUCAAAUGCAUCAUCAUCAUCAUCGGGAAGAGGUUGGGCAGCUGCUGCAUUAAGCUCAGCCUCAUGCCUGAAAUAAUAUCAACAAACACCAAAGUGAGAUGAUUUACUUCUAUGCCAAAUUUUCAUUCUACUGUCCAUAUAUAACUUAACUUUUUUUGGUAAUGAUCAUAUAACUAACUUAGCCUCAAAACAUCUAAACGUAGGAGAAAAUCACAUAGCAAGUUCAUGAAUGAAUAGGGCCUUACUGUAGUUGAGUAGCCAUGUCAAUCUGGACUUCUGGGGGAGCAAGAGCUGGAGACUCGACGAAAUGAAGAUUGGCAUCACUGAAAUGAAGGCAAUAAUAAUAUUAAUUAUGAGUGUCCAAGCUUGUACAUCAUUAAAACAAAAUGAGUCUAUAGUUAAUUACCCUGCAAGCUUCCUGGCCAGGUAGAGGAAAGGUUUCUCGAAAUUGUAGUUGCUCUUUGCAGAUAUCUCAUAGUACUGCAAGUUCUUCUUCCUAUGGAAGGUCACCUGCUUAGCUUUAACCUGCCUGUUCUUCACAUCAACCUUGUUCCCGCAGAGGACAAUGGGAAUGUUCUCACAAACCCUGAUAUUUUAAGAGACAAAUGUAACAAUUUGUCAGCAGGUGGGUAAACAAGACAACAAAAACAAGAACAGAUUUCAAUCUCUAGAUUCAUUCAACUCACCGGCAAAGAUCACGAUGCCAUGUAGGAACAUUCUUGUAUGUCAACCUUGCAGUGACGUCGAACAUAAUGAUUGCACAUUGCCCAUGGAUGCUGCAAAAUAAAAAAAUAAAUAAAAAAAUUUAGAAAGACAACCCUUAUUAGUUAUUACAAACAAUCGAUAAAACCAAAUCAUGACAACUAAAGACGCAUAGCCAGAUACCACAGAGACAAGCACUGGUAAUGAACCUAUGUUCUGUUCAAAGAAGAUGAGAAAGCAACGUGAACACAUCUUCCCUAAUGAUUUACUUUCUUGUUUUCAUAUGAAUACAUUACAUUCUCCCACCCAAAUCAUAAAAAGAUUCUAGACAACAACCAUACUCAAAGUCAAUUGCAUGCUUCUAAAUCAGAUAUCAACAAUCAACAUAUUGGUAGAGACCACUUACUAGUAACCAUCUCGAAGGCCACCGAAUUUCUCUUGCCCAGCAGUAUCCCAGCAGUAAAACCGGAUCUUCCCACAGUUUGUGAAGAAGUCUAGAGGAUGAACCUCCACACCAAUAGUUGCUGUUUCCAAAAUAAACAAAAAACCAUCAACAUAAAACCCAAAAUCCAAGCAACGGAGACAAAUUGACAAAUUGACCAAUUUCAAAAUUCAGAACGCGACUCUUACGUUCAUAUUUCUUCUCAAACUCUCCGGUAAGAUGCCUCUUCACGAAAGUAGUUUUUCCUGCGCAAUGCUCACACCAAUCAGCCUAAUCCAAAACUCAUCCGCUUACAGUAAAAAUAAACACUGAUAAAAUCAAGCCAAAAUUUACAGAAAAACGUGAGCAGUAACAAAUUAGAUCAAAUCGAUCAAACCUACUUCAAUCCUAUCGGAACGAAACUCCAAAAGAUCUAAAAUUUACAGAAAAACGAGAGCGGUAACAAAAUUAGAAGAUCAAAAAUUUACCGGUGCCUCCGUCGCCGACGAUGACGAGCUUGAAGCUCGGAUAAUCCACAGUCUGUUGGUUUGGCAAAGCCUACAACAUCAAAAUCGAAAUCAACACUAAACCCUAAUUCCCAAAAACAAAAGCACAAACAAAGACGAUCCAGAGCUAAAACCCUAAGGCAUGAUCGAGAAGAGAGAGAGAGAGAGUGAGAGAGAGGUACCAUGAUCGGUGAAGCGGCGGCGAAGUGAGAAAUAGAGACGGCGAUUUGGGGUUUAGAGGUAGGUAGAGGGAGGCGGAGGGGACUACUUAUAUAAGGCUGGGAGCGCGUGGCUUUAAAUCGACGCGACUAUCUCGCCCAUAUGAUUUGCGUAGUUUUAACGCUGGGUUCUAGAAACCACCGUUGAGGUGUGGGGUGAGUGUAAAAGGGGGUGUAGAGAGAUAUUUUCUCCCCUUUUUGAAUUUUGAAAGUUUGGAUCUCUAAUAACAAAGCUUUUGUUUACGGUUUUGAUUUAUUUGUGUUCUAUAAGUGCAAAGAUAUUUUUCUAAAUUUGAGAAAAUAGGAAAAAGAUUGAGUAUAAAUUCUAUGUCGAUUAGAUUUGAUGAAUCAAACCGGAUAAGAGGUAUUAUGUUUUGGAUUUUUACUAUCAAUGCGUGUAUAGUGAAGAUUUAGAUUUCGAGUUUUGAAAAACUGAUAGAAAAUGAGAGUACUGUAGCUACUCUUGAUUUUCGAUUGUAGCUGAUGCGCUGCCCUCUUGACACUUGAUACUCGAUUAUGGCCAAUGGCAGAACCACGUUUGGGUCUGUGGUGUCCAUACCUCUUCAGGUUUUCAAGCACUUCACGAAGCUACCAAGUUACUGGCAAAUACAUGAAAGUUAUUGUUUCUUUUUUGUAUGUUGUUGAGAUUGUCUCUUUUAUAGAUUAACUCAUUCCACACACACAUGUAUCUAGCAAGUGUAAAUUGUUUUUAACUAAUAUGUAUAAAUAUAAUAAUGUUUAUGUUAAGGAGUUUCGAUUACUCCUUAACAAUAUUAAUAUAAAUUUAUAAAUUUUUUCUCUUGCUAUAGCCAGUUCAGAUUGCUAUGAUAGUCUGAUACACGGUAUUUCAAAACCCUCUCAAAAUCGUGAUUACAUAAUAAGAUGAAACCAUCAGAAUGAAUUUGUUUUGGUGAUUCCGAAGACUUGCUACAGAAAGAACUAACGCAUCAAAAAAUACAGGAGGUUAUCAAGCGUUAAACCCUAGAAACGAUGAAGAGUUUACAAGCGUAAACUCAUCAAUAAAACUCUGGAAUUCAACAAUCAAUCGUGUCAAAAAUACUUUGGGUUCAAUCCCAUUAUUUUUUUUUUUUUUAAAUAUAUAUUUAGGAGUUUCUUAAAGUCAAAAGUCCUCUUUGUCCCCGCGUAUCCGGGUAUAUUACAAAAUCGUACCACGUAUCCGGACGUAUCCCAGAGGCGUAUCUACACUUGAUUAUGAGAGAAGAGAAAAACAAUGGGCGCAUAAACCCGGAAAUAGAGAGACCACAGACGACCCGAUUCUGGUUUUUAAGGCGAAGAACCUGAACCAAUUGCCACAGAUCUCAAGUCAUGGCCACCUGGCCCUCCUCUUCCGACCCUUCUAAUCAGUAAGCCCUUCAAAACCCACCCAUAAAUUAUCUCUAUGUUCUGUUUUCAUCUCAAUAAUCGAUUUGUUGCAUGCAUGAAUGUAUUUGGAAGGCAGCCUGAGGCAAUAAGGAAGAGAAAUAAGUCCGAUCAAAUUAAGUUCCUGAUUCCUCUCAUCUACGCCCCCGUGCUUCCCCUCAGUAAGUUUCGCCAAUUCUGCUCGGCUUUUUUUGUGGUUCAGUCUGUGAUGUUGUUCGUGUUUGACAUCUUGGUUUUUGUGUUUUCUUGGUCAGUUCGGAUCACGCUGCGGAAACAACCGGUUCUAAGGGACCGUCUGUUUAUUGCUGUGUUGGCUGGGGCAUUUGCUCAUGGCACUUAUUUGGUGUAUCCUUUUGUUGAGAUAUCGAAUUAUUGUGAUUGUUAUAAUGUUAUACUUGGUGACAUUCUGCUAAGAAAUUGCUAUGCUUGAUUAAGAAUGCGCCAAGUAUUGAUCUUUGCAUUUGAAUGGUUGAGGAUGUUAGAAGUUGGAAAUGAUUAGUACAUACUAAAUGUUUAUUUAUUUUAGUAUUUUGACUUAGCGAAUUUGGAUUGUUAGGGGAUGCAUUUGCAAUGAGAGGCUGUAGAAUAAGAAGUGUAACUGAACUCAGGGAGAGGUACAACUGCUUUGUUUCAGAUGUUUAAGAGUGUGCGUAAAUGUUAGCACAGAGAGUUGACGAUGUCUGAGUGGAAAAGAGCGUGAUAAAGCAUGUUUCUUUCUGUAGUUGACGCUCGUUGUGUAUAUGUGCUCAUCUGGUUUCUGUCUUACUAAUGAGCGUUGGAAGUUCCGGUAGUAGUUCAUACUUCAUAGGGAAAGGGAGGAUUGAUCUUUAAGAGUGUAUGUAGACAUGCACAGGCAGUUUAUGGUGGCUGAGAGCAGACAGGGAAGAUAAAUACAACUCUUUGUAUAGUUGGGUGAUGUUUUCAUCCGCUUUCUUUAUUUUGUCUCAGUUGUUCAUUAUUUAUCGGGUUUCGUCUGUUGAUGUUUCAUUGGAGGAAUAAGAUGUUAGGACUUAGGGGAAUUUGUUUUAGAUAAUUUGUUUGAAUCACAAGCUCAAAUUUAUAUUGGUAAUAUGGUACUGGAUAUGAGAUUUCAUAGAUAGUAGAGUACCUCAUUUUUUCUUUUCUGCUUGCAAGUUAGAGUUCUUCACUGCAUCCUCUUGUGGUUCCUAGGGAGAAUUAGCAUUCAGUAGUUAUUCUGAAUUAAUCCUUUGAUUUAACCAUGUUUAAGCAAAAGUUUUCAUUCAAAGUAAUACGGUAUCAGAGUUAUGUUCAUGUAAAUUUCUUCUCAAGAAUCUUCCACUGUUAUUAACUUUUUGCAACUCUAUGUCUCGUCUUUUUUUUUCUUUGUAUUCUGUUGUUGAUCCUUAACAGACUUUUUGCAGGACGGAUCUUUUUAAUUGAGAGCAAGUAAAAUUUGCACACAUAGUUGAGAUAUGAGGUAGCGUACAUCUCUUCAACAACUUUGAAUUGUUUUGCGGAUUCUUUGCAGCUCAAUGCUUCAAUGGCUCCCAGAGUAUACUAAUACAAUUUUGAUAUUGUCUCUGGAUGAUUCCUAGAUUAUAUCCAGUUAUUAUUAAGUAUUUACUAGUCCAUUUCUUUUCCUUUUCACUAGCUCUCAACAAGUUUUCAACACUGUUUUACUGAUUACAAUAAGAACACGAUCGAAAUUGUUUUGUUAAUCUCUUUGGUGAUCUUAGUUAUGUAUGUUGAUAUACUGUAGAGGACUUGCAGUCUGCCUUGCCAAACCUUAGCAUACUAUUACUAUUUGGACAGUUAACCCCUUUUAUAACUGAUAGCAGUCUAAUUGAUGCGGAUGUCUAGCAAGAGUUUGUUCUACCGAAAAUCUGUUGGAACACUCUUGCUUCAAGUGAGAUUUUGCCUCUGAUUCUAAGUCCUUCCAAUGCCAAAUAUCUGGCUAGGGUUGGUUGUCACAAGAUGUCGCCAUCAUCAAGUCAUGGACAUUUCAUGAGCUACAUGCAUUCCACAAAAUAGUUGUGAUGCACAUAGGCAUAUUCCGAUAUCGGAUUCUUUCUACGAUUCGAGUCAUGGACAUUUCAUGAGCUAUAUGCAUUCCACAAAAUAGUUGUGAAUCACGUAGGCAUAUUCCGAUAUCGGAUUCUUUCUACGAUUCAGUAUCUCAACCAAGAUCCAAAUAUUCUGUAUCCCACUUGCCACUUGUCCUUCCAUCGAUCCCCACAUCAAAUCCUAACCUCUGAUAAACCCUAGCUCUGGAAAUUCGACUAAAACCCCAAACUCCUAAAGCUUGCAUAGGUCGCUCACUGGAUUAGAGAUUAAUAUAACUAAUUAGGUCACAUCAUUCAUCGUCAGAUCCAAUAUUGAUGCAAAGCAUAGAGAUAUAUAGUGUAUACAAAUCAAUAAUUACAUACUUAAUCAGCUUAAUCACGCAAUUAACUCAAUAAACAAAGGGAAAAUGAAAGCAUAACAUAAAAUUAAUGCCAUCACCAUCUUACACAAGUUCAACCCCUUUAAAUCUACUUUAAUAAAAAAAAAUGAAAAAAUAGAUGAUCUGGGGCUCCCUUCGAUCCGAUCCUAAUUAUCCAGGCGUUAUUGACGCGGCCGGCUCAGAGAUCGGACCGGUUCUUGAAAUCGGAGGCGAGUCUGUUGGCGAUGGAGGAGUGGUACAUGGCGUCGUGAAACGUCUCCGUCUCGAUGGUCUUGAGCCGGAGCUGCUUGGCCUUCUCCUCCGUGAAGCAGCCCGGCGCGAACCGGGAUCGCUGCGGCGGCGGCUUGGACUCCGGUCCGGCCUCGGCCGGCUCGGUGGAUUUGGAGUUGGUGGAGUCAAUGUAGUCCGGUUCAGCGGACCAGCCGAAGAGGGGGCUCCACCACUUGGAGGUGCGGGCCGGGUCGGGCUUGCGGUUGGCGGCGGCGCACGGGGCGGUGAGGGAUGGACGGAAGUGGAUGAGAUUGGUGGCCAUUUUUAGAGAGAGAAAGAGAUGAGAGAGAGAGAGAGAGAGCUUCUUCAAAUGAACGUUUGCGUUGGGGUUGGAGUAAUGUGCCAGUUUGCAGGUUGCGAAUUUAAAGGGGAAGUGUGGGAAAAGUGGAUAAGGACCGACAGUGUUCGUGUUCGUACAAUAAAUAACUCCGGGCACGUGUGAGCAGGGGCCCACUUUGGCUUUUUGAGUUUUGAAUGAACAUUCCUACCGGCUAAUCCGGUCUCCGUUUAGAUUUGGUCUUAGAUGCCUACGGGAUAGUGAAUGGACCGUAAUAGCCUCCUUUUCACUUUUUUUACUUUUUUCUUUUACUGUUGGCCUCUGUGAUCACGGAGUCUUCAAUAUUAUGUACACGGUGUGUAGUUUCACUUAGGGCAUCUCUAAAAAUGGUUGCCAUACCUAAAUUCAUACUUAAAACCCAUAAAAAUUCAUCUCCAACAAUUAAAACUCAUACUCAAUUAUGGGUUCCUACUACACAGACGACCCAAAAUGGGUCGAGUUGCAAGGAGGAAACCCAAAACUGUAGACGCGGGACCCAGAUGGCAACAAAAGGCAGCAGGUGCACGUGAAAGACUGGGUAGCGGCAGGAGCUACACGCGGUGAGCUUGGUCUGUGGAGAACGCGCGCUAAAGACAGAAAAACGGGCAGGCGAGGAGCGCGCGGGAGCGCGAGACGCGCCAAUCACGCGUGAGCGGGAGAUGCACACCUGCGGUUGAACCACGUGAGCUCGCUUCUGACCCUCCAAAGGUCCAAAAACGCUCGGCCCAGAUUGAAUGAUCAUUCAAAUCAUCAGGUCCAGAAAAAAUAGGCCGAAAAUUAAAUAAUUUGAAUGAAAAAAAUUUGGGUAUGAGUAUGGGUUUUGAUAUAAUGGUUGGAGAUGAAAUAUGAGUUUGAAUAGUAAUGGGUUUGGGUAACUCAAAAUAUGGGUAUGGGUUUGAGUAUGACAACCAUUGUUGGAGAUGCCCUUACCUAUGUGGAUAUAAACAGCUAUGAAUAAACCGUGUACUUGUACCGUUAUGUAUACAAGAAUUUUUCGUUCUAGGGUCAGUCUUAUUCUUCAAAUGGGUAGUUUAUAAAUUAAAUUAAAUUAAAUUAUGGUAACAGAAAAAUAGAUGAUGUGUGAUAAAUAAAAUAGCGUGUGCAUAGUAUCAUCAAUCCUCUCGAUUAUUAUAUGAACCAGUCUUCCAUGGACUCGAGUAUAUAUGUAAUUCAUGCAGGGCUUAGUAUAUCCGAGUAUAUGCCAUUGAAUCACUAGCUACUUGAACAAUAUGAAAUUAGUUUUACAAGUUGAAGUAUAAUCUACAAAUUUUCUCCGACGCAUGUACCAUGCUAUCAUUGAAUAUGAUGGAGUACGUCGUCAAACUAUUCUCAAGCGGCAUAACAACCGCCGGUAAAUACAUUUCUCAACCCAGCUAAGACAGCAAGAGAUGAAAAUAUCCCAUGCAGAUGCAGAUGCCAUAUUGAAUAAGUUGUCGUGGACGAUCAUGAAAACCGAAAAAUUGGAGCUUCCCCGAAACCUUGGUCUCGUUCUCUUGACGUUUUCCCCCGACUGACCUUUCCAAGUUUGGAGGAAAGAGGCCAAAGUAUGAUUCAAAAUUGGUACAAAACAGUAGCAUCGUCGAUACAUAAGAGCGAAGAUUCCCCAGAUGCUCUAUGUCGUCCCUGUCCUUCAUUCGUCCGUUUGUCUCCGUCCUAAAACUGCAGAAAGUCGGACGGUAUGUACACGUUCAGAUCAGUCUAUUCAAAAGUCUGAAGAUUCAGAACAUCCUUGGCCCUUGGAUUUUCUGUUGGUGAAUACGACAUGCGCGCACGUUUUUUUGUUCUCUGGUUCAAAAUUCAAAUAUCUCUCUUCGUGUUCGUUUUGGAGCUGUAAAACCUCAAAAUGAAUCCGGCAGAUAAUACAAAGUUACUUCUCGAUCACUGUCGAGGUGGUAGCUAGGGAUCGAACUUUUCAAUUUUGACCGAUGCUAAAUGAGUCAUUGCCACAAGUCCCUCAGCCGCUCAACUUGGAAGCUGAGAACAACGUUGCUUUGUUUUCAACUCUAGUGCAAUGUGGGAUGUCCGCCGAGACUUGACUUGUCUGGAUGGGGAUUUCAUUAGAAGGCCACAAGAUGCAAGGGGCGACCCAAAUAGCUAGGCCUGCAUAGAAUAGAAUGAGGCCCAAAAACAGGUGUCCUUCCAUUAAUUUCCUAGGCCACCAAUAUCACUAGAAAUGUGUAGAAAUUCGGCCCUAGAGGACUAUUUGGGCCCUUCAUGGAUCAUACGAUAUAGAUCAGAUAUAUAUAUUGUAGGCCUUAUUUGAUACUAUAUAGCUCUAUAUAUCCGGACUACUACUCACCUUGUUUCUUUAAGUGAUCCUUGUAUGUUAUUGGCCAUUUAUCUUUGCAUCUCUUAAUCCAGACUUCGGAAUGAUGAAUGGUAAGUCAGUAUGUAUUAGGGAAGAGCUUUCCCAUCGUUCUGUUAUAUCAAGCUGAAUGAAGUUGUACGUACCUCGAUGAAAAAGGAAAGCUAAUCCAGUUGCGAGAAGAAGAUCGAAGUUGUUCAUGGUGAGAAUAGAAACCCUGAGGCAAAUUGUGCGUAACUCGUACAGAGAAUUAGUGCAAUAAUGUGACAGUUAAGUUAAAGCUUGAACAUCAAUGCUAAAGGCAUCACUUGCUUGUUUUGGAAUCACGUACAACUUCGAAAUCUUGACAGAAAGUGUUAACUAAUUGUAUCCCUGUUCAGGUUUUUGAUGAACUCCGCAAGUCACUAAAUCUUCUCUUUCGACCAACUUUGUGUCUAUCAAGCAGUUGUUGCUCCAUCAUAGUUUCCAGUAGUUCAUCACAAAAUAUCAAGGUUGGCUAGACAUGUAUAUAUAUGUCUCAUGUCAUCCAAAUCCAAAACGAAUGUACCACAUGCAUGAAUAGAAGAAUUGCUAUAUACGAACCCAAGCUAUCAGCCAAGCAGUCGAAAGUCAUGCACAGCACAACUAACUGAAGCAUCAGUGUGACGGUGAUGAUCAUGAGUUGCAGUGGUUACAUGCAUGUUGGUUAAUUGAAGAAGCUAACCUAAACUUAUCUCACUGCAUGCAACUUGUGUGGUCCGCUCUCCAAAAUUUCGAGACCACAAUCCCACAUGCAGAGAAAUUUAAGACGUUGAAGAAUUCCUACAGUGACAACUGAUACGACUCCCUCCUCAAGUUGGAAUUAAAGACAUUAAUCUUCUGCAGCAAAGCUUUUGUUAAUUUUUCGGGUCCAUUUCAUAUAGGGUUCGGUUGCUAUAUAUAUUUAUAUGGCAUACAUCAAAUCGUGAGUCGUCCGAUCGUUUAACAAUUUAAAAUUCAAGACGAUUGGACAACUCACGGCUUAAUCUUAAUGUAUGCUAUAUAUAGCAUAGUAGAAAAGUCUUUUCCUAUAAACCUAACAGAAGGGCUUGGCUAAUAUAGUAACCCAGAAUCUCCCCCAUCUCCAAUAAUGCUUCUCAGAUCUUUAUGAAUAUGAAUAUGAAUUAUUAAGGUGGUGGGAGACAUUUAAUCAUUGAUGCCCUCUAUUGGAGCUUUGCAAAGGGUCCAAAGUUAGGUCCCAAAUCGGCAUGUCACUCCUUUUCCUCUAGUUGUUAGUCGCCAUUUCUAGGACCUCUACAGGGCUCCAUGAGCUGACUGGGUUUUGCUUCUUCCAAAUGUCUAGGCCUAUCCCCUUUCACUUUCAGCAACUCAACCACCGACCCAAUUCUCCGUCACUGACCAAGCUUAUGUUGUAAUUUAGCUUACAAGUCAGACUUUAACACUAAUCUAAUUUACCCAACAGUAAACACAAAAGGGGUUAUAGAGAAGCUGUAGUCAUCGCCGGCGACCGUAUCUUUAGCAGCCGGGAUUGGUUUGUGUAACCUAAUUAACCUCCAGACUCGGGGAAACAAAGCAGACCAAUUAUGAUUCAUGUUCAUGAAGAGCUAGCUUUUCUGUGCCAUCAUAGUUUUUAAACUUAUAAAGCCUAACUUAUGAUGGGGGAAGGGGCCUCUACCGCCCUCUAGUACCUAACUGACUUUAAAAUUUACAAGGCAUGAAUCUACGCAAUGCAAUAAACAUGGUCGGCCGCUUCUCAUAAUUGAAAUUCAUUCGAAUCUAGCUAGCUAGCUAGACAUAACUAUAUGCAUGAUCGGUUGUUCCUACCUAGCUAUAGACAAUUAACCUAGCACUGCGCGCUCGCUCUCUUUGAAUUUUAGUACUCAUGCAUGCAUAGUGCACAGUGCCCUUACGGUCAUAUCCCUGCAGCAGAUCCUGCUGCAGAACCUGCAUGCCUCCCCUGCGUAUAUAAUACAUAUACAUACACAAACAUUUCUAACUCUCUACUUUAACAUACACAAAAAUAAGACGAUUGACUAAUUAAUCAUAAUGCUUUUUAAUAUAAAACACAACCUUUUCUAUUGGGGAAGAAAGAAUAGGCUUCAAGAAAGAAAUCAUCUACCCUGAUCAUAAUUUCUUCAAUGACAGAUUGACAGAUGUAAUUACAGGACGUACUACUGCCCGCACACACGUUAAAAUAAGAACGGUCUAUAUUGCAGUCCAUUUUUCCUCAAGAGAUACCAAUCAAGUUUGAAACCCUAGCAUGGAAAUAAUGCAUAUAUGCGAACCUUCAAAUAAUUAAACAGUGGUUGUCCAGAAAAGACUGGUCCAGUUAAAACCCGUGUGCGUACAGAGAUGCAAAGCAAAACUGCGGUACUGGGUUUAGACUCCUUCACGGAAAGACAACCAAAACCCUUUGAAACUUGUUCAAAGCGAACCGCGGACCCAUGAGAUCGAUCAAACUGGGACCAGGGUAGAUACCUCUUUGUGUUCUUUCGACUCAAUUAUCAAACUUAAAUUUUGCCCUAGCUUCUGGCUUUAUCUAUCAAUUCCAAAAGAGAAUCUAAAAACGUACCCUUGUUAAAUUUUGCUUCCCUUUCCUUUUCUGCCUGCUUUGUCCACAUUGAUCUAACAGAUACAACUAUCUUCUACCAUGAAAUCGAUAUGCUGUCAUGGAUGAUGUAAUAUAACAUUUUGGAACAAUUUCGAACACCUAAAGCUAGCUAGAAGUUCAGAAAAAUGCUUCUAAGCUAUCGAUUAAGUUCAACAUUUAGCUAGUUUCUUUAACCCUAAUCUAGAAGUUCAGAAAUAAGUUAGGAGAAUCAAACCUAAAUCUUUUGUUGUUAAUACUUGAACAAGUAAAGCACGUAUUCCAUUAAUUGGAGACGAUUGAUUUGCAUAAAACCACGUACUUAAUUAUACGUAUAAUACAUGUAUUGAAUCUUUGGAACAUAUAUAGUAUCUCACCGAUUCAAUAUACUUCCCUAAGAAAUGGUAGGGCAGGAGUCGAUUUGCCUUUUCUUGAUCACAAUUGAGACAAAACAUGACAAUCGAUCACUUUAAUUUAUUUCUGUGCUGGUCAAAAAUGGGAACCCCGUUAAUCUUUUUGGUAAUCAUCAACAACUUCAUGGAAGCACCAUUAUAUUCAUGAUUUUCACAAUUAAAUUUCGACCUACCACACCCAUCUACCACCUCUUGAUUUUCAAUGGUGUAUGUUCAAUUCCGAUGUCCAAUCCCAAUGGCUGGCGGUAGUGCUUUUCACUUCGUUCAUCGUUAAUCAAUGAGUUUCUUGUUUACUUUCUUAUCAGAGUCAUAGCUAUGUCAAUGACUUCCUUCGAUCACUUGAAAAGAUUUAAAAAACAAAAAACAAAAAGAUUUGUUUCUUUCGCACACUGUGAUGAUCGACAGGAAAUCACAAGGUACCAGACGUGUCGCACAGGCAACGGUGUUAGAGAAUGUUGUAUUAGUUUUGCAACGCUAGGUUUAUACUUUAAACUUUACUUAUAUGUGCCUUCAAAAGUAUCAAAGUGCAAAAUAAAAGAUUUAAAGAGAAAAGUUGAAUCAACGAGUACUCAAAUAAUAUUGCUUUUAUGGUUGGUUGAUGAAGAUGUUGGAGCUGGACUGCUGGAGACUUGGAUCUAGCAAAGCUAACAUCAUAGGGAAAAUGAUUAGUACGUGAAACCUGUGUACCCUAAUACUAAUCAUGUAACACAUGCUUUGAGUACCGGUAAAUAUUGAGUCUUCUACGUACCACAUCGAUUUGGGCAUGUUAUUUCCUGUUUUUCAUCUUUUUAUGUUUUAUAAUAAUUUCUCGUCAUUUUGAUAAUCCAAUUACGAAUUGACAAAUUAUAUGUAUGUUCGUAUUAUGGUAGAGAAAACUUUUCUACUUUAAUUUUCUGCUGAUAUCCUCAUUGGAUGAGUAAGUAAAUAGGAAUCAAGAACUAAGGAUAUAGUAAGAAUAAUUUCUAUUUUUGUAACAGAAUUACAGAACACAAAGAAUCAUUUCCAUAACAAAAUUAGCCGAGUCAAAUAUAUAAGUAUUUUGCUUUUCUCGUUUUAAUUAAUUGAAAACAAUAUUAACAAAAGAAGAAAUUAAUCAAUUGUCUGCUUCAACUUGUAGUGCUCCAUCACUACAGAUCGAUCGCCUAACCAAAUAACCAACAACUAGCUAGCAAGGGUUCAUCAUCAACAACUAGCUAGUCAACCAUUCUAAUUCUAUUUCGUGCGUGCAUGCGUGCGUUGGACUUACCUGGAGAGAAGUGGAGGCAUACGAUGCACCCAUGCAUGUUCCAUAAAUGGUCAUGUUCUUCUUCGUCACCGAUCACGACCCUUAUUUUAGCUAGAGAAAUCGAUAUGGCGGCAGAGAUCUAAGAAUUAAGAACAACAAUCUGGAUCUGCCUGCUACACUUUCUACGUUGAUUCUUACUCAAUAUAGAUAGAUAUCCUUCUUACCAGAACAGGAAACUCAACCACUUCUAUAAUUUUAAGAACAAACAAGUGAAAAUAUAGUCUGUAUGUGGAUAAUUUUAUUUAGUUAGCACAUCUGGACGACUUUGAUUUAAUUUUAUUAAGCAUUUGAUGGCCUGCUUGAAAAAGUAGUCUCAACACGCCUCUGCAUGUGUGGUGAAUUUUCAAGUCUAACACGUGGACAACAUUUGGGGUGACGUGGAGUUGGUGUGUCCGUUCCGAGAAAUUUUUCAAUGCUCCCGAAGGACCACGUGACAAUCUAACGUGGUCCUCCAUUGCCAAUUAAUUUUUGACACGUGGAUUUAUUACAACUAAAAUAUAAACUAAGGUUUUCUAUAUUUUGUGAAAUGAUCGUCUUGGGUUUUUUAUGAGUUCGGCCUAGGGUUUAGGGGUUAGGGUUUAGGGUAUAGGGUUUAGGAUUUAGGGUUUAAAAUAUCAACAAGAAACCCAAAAUGGUCUUUGAAAAAAUCACGAAAAUUGUUUUUCAUCAUGAAAAUUUACAUGUCAAAAUUUAAAUUUGACACGUGGAUUUAUUACAACUAAAAUAUAAACUAAGGUUUUCUAUAUUUUGUGAAAUGAUCGUCUUGGGUUUUUUAUGAGUUCGGCCUAGGGUUUAGGGGUUAGGGGUUAGGGGUUAUGGUUAAGGGUAUAGGGUUUAGGAUUUAGGGUUUAGGGGUUAGAAUUUAAAAUAUUAACAAGAAACUCAAAAUGGUCUUUGACAAAAUCACGAAAAUUGUUUUUCAUCAUGAAAAUUUACAUGUCAAAAUUUAAAUGGAAUUGAGGACCACGUUAGACUGCCACAUGGUCAUUCGGGAGCACUAAAAAAUUCCUCUGGCCGUUACACAUUCACACGUGGACAUGAGUAACCCACUCUAAUAUUAUGGUAAAAUAGUCUGGAGUUCACAUCCAAAACAAAUUGGUAAUGGGUGGAGUGACCCAAACCCUUAUAAACCCACAUAUUUGGAUUGAUAUCUCAACACGCCCCCUCACAUGUGGUGAAAUUUCAAGCCUAACACAUGGACACCAUUUGGGUGACGUGGAGUGUGUGUGACCAUUAGGCUUCACACAUGGAAUGGGUAACCUGCUUUGAUAAAGUAGUCUGAGAUUCAUAUCCAAAACCAAUUGACAAUGGAUAAAGAGACCCAAACCCUUAUAAACCCACAUAUAAGGUCCUAUAUUCCCGAUGUGAGAUUAAUAUCUCAACAUUGGUAUGCCAAUAUGUCAUCGAUGAAUAUACAUACUGGCAUUGCUAAACAAUAUGGAGAAAUGCAUAAUUACAACUUGAGAUAUGUUAAAAAGUCGAUUACAUAUAUCUGUAUCAAAGUUGACGAAAUUAAUCAAUUUUAAUCAAAUCGAUUGAAAAUCUGAAAGUGAUCGAUGCACGCAGACGACAAACUUCCAUGGCCUCCACAUGAGAUGACGAGUAUUUUGGCUGAUAAUGGAGAUUAUUAAACUAAAUCUAGCAUAAUUGUCCACGACAAUUUGGUUUAUUAAUUAGUUAUAUAAAUCUCUACUUGAGUCGUUCGAUUCUUAUAAUAAGCUAGAUCUUAUUAUGGAUGGAUAAGUUCUUAUAUAAUAUAUAAUUGUUGAAUUUGAACCUUUGCACCACAUUAAAAUGAUGAUCUGCAUUCUUUGAUAGAUAAAUAAUCCGAAGUUAUUUUCAUGCAAGUACAAGAAGUUUGAAGAUUCCAGAGGUUUUUGGUAGAGACAUAUCUAACUUCACUGUUUUUAGAAUCUAGGAUAAUCACAUACACAAAACACCAAUUCAUUCCAGUGUAUUGAACCAAAUGACUAAACCAAGUCUGAUAGAUAAUACCGAAGUACUAUUGCUCGGAUGGGCGAGCAGUACUAUUUCUCCAACUCGAUCAUUCUUGUCAUUUCCGUUCAAUUACAUCGAUAGCUUUGGAAACCCUAGCAAAACACAGAAUGAAUAUUUUUUUUUCUAUUAAAAAAUAAUUCUUUGCAUUAUUUUCUGAGAUACUUUUGACAGUCGAUUUUGACUCAUCUAUUCACAAUUAUAUAUAUUAUAAAAAAAAAAUCUGAAUUAUAUAUAGAUGCAUAAGUUCAUCAUAUUGUACUUUGCUUGGACGAGGACAGCACUCUGUUAUAUUGCAUAUAUCCCAAGUUAAUUAUCCUACUCAUCAACGAAAUUAUACUUCUCUAUAUUGUUCUUAGAGCAGUCGUAAAUGGAGUCGCAGGCAUGUUUUCCCAAAUGUAUAGUCACGAGUCACGACUGUUCUUUCUCCUAGUUUUAAACUUAACUGUUUCACCUCAUGGAUUCAACUCAUUCAAGUAAUUGAUAAUUUGACAUAAAUAAAGUUAUAUAUACACAAUUGUCUUCCCGUAUAUAGCUAGUUUCUUGAAAUUUCCAAUAUGUGACUAUAGCAUUGAGACGUUUAACCCAUCGCUCUCUCUAGCAGUUGCUUGGCCUUUGUAGACAUGUCUCUACAUGCAGGUGCGUUGGUUUGUUCUUGCAUUUUUUUUGUUUUCUCUUAUAUAUUCUAACAUUUCAUCUUGGUAAAUUUUUUAAUCGCAGCGGGUAUGCAUGUUUGGUUCCCUUUCUAUGUAGUGAAAGACUGAAAGCAAUGGAUUUCAGACUUCAAUGUAGAGCAGACAUGGAUCUCUUUCCUAAACAAGAGUUUAGAAAAAUAAUGGAAAAAAAAAUACAAGAGGAAGUACUUUUCUACUAUACUAUUUUUUUUAAAACUUUUUAUUAAUAACUCACACACCUUACAUAUAUCAGUGAGAUUUGAACCCAUGACCUCAAAGUUGUCAAUUUAACAUCUUAACCAACCAAGCCACGGCUCACCGACAACUUUUCUACUAUACAUGUGUGUAUAACAUAUAUCAAGCCGUGAGCCGUAUGAUCGUCUUGAAUUUUAAAUUGCUAAAUGAUCGGACAACUCACAGCUUGAUGUAUGUCAUACAAAUGUGUAUAACAGCCAAACCCCAAGAGCAAACUUUGUAAUCUUGCCCAUUUGUUCUGCGUCCAUAGGCCUUUUCACUAGUAGUUAUUGACAAAGUCACAAAACCAUAGUUGGUGUAUUUUUUUUUUUCAAUCAAAAACGUAAAAGGUGAAUGUAGUGAUAAACUUUUGUAUCUUACAUUUAUCAUAUGGUUUCACAGCACUUUCAUCAUUUCGUGCAAAUUCGAUAGAAAUUAUAAACUCUACGUACAUAUGAGCGUAGAAAAUAAAGUUACAAUUCAUUUAAAAUUUGCAUUAAACAUUGUCGCAUUUUCUAUCGAACAUGCAAAACAAUUGUCGAUAACAAAGCUACAAAUGCAUCUACACAUGUUUUUUCUUUUAUUAAAUCCCUCAAUUCACCCCUCUUAUAUAUAUUAAGUGAUAUUUGAACUCAUAAUAUCUGUUAAGCUAGCUAACCAACAGAUUACGACUCACCAAAAACUCUUAAGUAGUCUACUAGUCUUACGACACGAAACUUCCUUUUGGCCCUAAAAUGGUUAUGUCACCCCCGUCCUCCGUUACAACAACCUUAGCCCAUAGAAAGCCUCAUUAAUCAUGCAAACCUUACGUCACCUCCAUCCUACACUCACACAAUUACCUCCUUUGCCACCCCGACUUUCAACUCUCAAUUGUUUAUUGGACGGCCAAGGGCAUUCGGCGAUGCAGACAAAAGUUCACAAAACUCUAAAUCAUAGGGUCAAAACAGUAAAAACACCAGCAAAAGACCUCUAUAUAUUAGAGUAUUAGACACCCGGGUCCGAUAUCGAAACCAACCGUAAAAAGCCAUGUCUAUGUUGGCACCGAGCUCAGACGUAUAGCCGAGCCCGAACCAAACUAUAAGAUCCCCCGUAUUAUUAUAUAUAUAGCAAAAUUAAAAUAUUUCAAGGACUCUCUAGGAGAGACCAAGCACCUUAUUUAUAGCGAUCUCUUUUUUUUGAUACGUAUUUAUAGCGAUCUCUGGGGGCUUUAAACCCCAGUGGAGGCACAGCUAGCCCUCUCUUGUUUCUCUAAACUCAAAGGCUAGCUAGAAACAACAAUCCCAAGAGACAAAAACCAAGUUUGCAAUGGCGUUCAGUGGUGUUUCAAUGUGCGGCCAAGAACAGCUGGACUUGUCUAGAGACGGCAGCCACUACAGCCUCUCCACCGGAAUACUGCCCUCUCUCGGCGCUAGGUCUAGUAACCGGAGAGUCAAGCUCGGCCGGUUUAUAGUCUCGCCGUACGACCGGCGUUACAGGUACGCCUUUGUUUUCAAUCCGAACACUUACGUCGAGAAAGGAAUCCAUUUAUAUUUGGUUUGUUAUUAAGUAUUUUUCUAUGUAGUAAUAUAUUUCAAGGUUGGCUGCAUAAUUGGUUUGACUACACUAGUUUACUGGGAUUAAUUUUUAAUGGUUUCCUCUUCUUCUGGGUUUGUGUUUUCGGAGAAGAACGGCAUUGAAAACUCGGUGACCGUUUUGCAUGCUUUCGUGGUUAUACUGAAAGCGUUACAACUGGUGUUUCGUUUUUCUGUGGUCAUAUUUGUCUUCUUCUUUUCGUUUUGUUGGAGUUACAGUCUCUUUGUUACUCUGCGUUCUUGUUGAUUCUUCUUCCAUUGUUAUCGUUUUCCGGCGAGGAAAGACGACGUUGAAUCUUGAGGGUUGCCUUUUUCAGUGAUCAAAAUUCAAAAGGAUUCAUUUGUUUCUGCUUUUGCCUUUUGCAGAUUUUAAUUUAUUUUUCUUUAAAGGUGUACGUGUUAAUGCUCUGUGAUAAACGUACGUGGUGCUUAAUAAAAAGCAUUUCACUGUAAAAUUCUAGGGGUCAAAAGUUUCAUUCUUGCAUUUCUUUGGAUUCAGGGUUUGCUUUUCAUAUGAGAUUCCAGGUCUGUGACUGCUAUUCCAAACUGAAACUGACAUAUCGAAUUUGGCACUUAUAUGACAUUCUGAUUUCUUGUUUGGCUUCGAAAUAAAAGAAAAGGGUUUUUCAAGUCAGAGGUGGAGGCCUCAAAUCACUCUUUUUGACUUGAAUGGAAAGCAAUCAGCUCGGUUUCAUUUGUUGAUUUCUUGGCAAAUUCUGAAUUAGAUGCAAAAGGAAACGAAGUCAAGUUUCGUUUCGGCUUGUCAGCGAACCAUGACAUGAUGAUUUGAAUUCUGCAUUAGUUAACACCUGUACCUAUGUUCUGUGAGUAAAAUGGAAGUCUCUUAUUGCUAAAAUCGGCUCAGAUUGAAUUGUUUCUUGCAGGAUUUGGGAGACAUUUCUUGUUGUUCUGGUCAUCUACACUGCUUGGGUCUCCCCCUUCGAAUUUGGCUUUCUUAAGAAACCACAAGGACCCCUCGCCAUUAUUGACAACAUUGUCAAUGGCUUCUUUGCUAUAGAUAUUGUUCUUACAUUCUUUGUGGCUUACCUGGAUAAGGCUACAUAUCUACUUGUUGACGAUCAAAAGCAGAUUGCUUGGAAGUACGCAAGUACUUGGUUGAUCUUUGAUGUCAUUUCCACAAUUCCUUCUGAACUUGCUAGGAAGAUCUCCCCUAAACCUUUCAGGUCUUAUGGCUUUUUCAACAUGCUCCGGCUUUGGCGUCUUAGAAGAGUUAGUGCUCUAUUUUCCAGGUACAGGGUUUUCUUAAAUGUAUCUGCGGAUUGGAAAGUGCAUAUUUCCUGUGUACUAAUUGUGCAUGAUUCUGUUUUAACAGAUUGGAGAAAGAUAGGAACUAUAACUACUUUUGGGUUCGUUGUGCAAAGCUUAUUUGUGUAAGUAAUUCUGAUGGUUUUGGGGUUGUUAUACUGAAGAAAUUGCAAUUCUUAUGCAGUGCCAUCUUAAUGGGAUUCGGAUGAUCUUUCUGUAGGUCACCCUUUUUGCGGUUCACAGUGCUGGAUGCUUCUAUUACCUUCUUGCAGCGCGUUACCGCGACCCCAGUAACACCUGGAUUGGAAAAUCAAUGGAAGACUUUCUUCAUCAAAGUAUAUGGAUUCGAUACGUGACUUCAGUUUAUUGGUCUAUCACUACACUCACAACAGUUGGCUAUGGAGAUUUGCAUCCUGUCAAUACAAGGGAGAUGAUCUUUGACAUAUUCUACAUGCUUUUCAACCUUGGAUUGACAUCAUACUUGAUUGGAAAUAUGACCAACUUGGUUGUCCAUGGGACUAGUCGAACACGAAAAUUUGUUAGUAAACUCAAUUGCUUUCUUUUUAGAUUUGGUAGAAGAAAAUAAACAAAAUGUGAACUCACAGUUCAUCAUUUUUUCACAGAGGGAUACCAUACAAGCUGCCUCCAGUUUUGCACAGAGGAACCAACUGCCUGUUCGCCUGCAGGAUCAAAUGCUUGCUCAUUUGUGUCUGAAGUUCAGGACAGAUGCAGAGGGACUCCAGCAACAAGAGACUCUUGAUUCACUUCCUAAAGCCAUCCGCUCAAGUAUCUCACAUUAUCUGUUUUACUCUCUUGUCGAUAAGGUGUACUUGUUUCGUGGGGUUUCAAAUGACUUGCUUUUUCAGUUGGUAAGUUCAAACCGUUCUACAAAUUUCCAUUGAAUGCCCGUCUUACAGUGAACUUUUUAAUAUGUUCUGUUAGAUGUUCAGCUGAUUCUUCUUUUUUCCCUUCUCAAUCCAAAGGUCUCAGAGAUGAAAGCCGAGUACUUUCCUCCCAAAGAAGACAUAAUAUUGCAGAAUGAAGCACCUACAGAUUUCUACAUACUUGUAACUGGUGCUGCGGUAAUAAUUGAUCUUUUGUUUUCCUUUCAAUUUCACAGGCAUUAUUCGCUUUCCUGCUCAUUCUAUUAUAGUUUACUUUCUGAAUAAUGUACUUAUUGUUUGAAUUUCUUAACAGGAUUUAGUGGUACUCAAGAAUGGAGCUGAACAGGUAAACUCCAAUCUGAUCAUGAUGAACAUGUUUCUACCUUUUAAUAGAUUUGGCUUCCUUGAUGGUGAGGAGUCUGACUUUCUAUUUUAACUAAUUGCAGGUCAUUGGUGAGGCAAAAACUGGUGAUCUCAUUGGUGAAAUUGGGGUACUUUGUUAUAGGCCACAGCUCUUUACAGUAAGGACCAAAAGAUUGAGUCAGCUACUCCGGCUCAACAGAACCAAAUUUUUAAGCAUAGUGCAAGCUAAUGUUGGAGAUGGAACUAUAAUAAUGAAUAACCUCCUCGAGGUUUGUUAACAUGAUAUAACCUCUUAAAAUUUCCUUGGUUUAUAUUUUGAAAGGAUUUUGACAUGCUACACUUUCUCAAUGGGGCAGCGUUUGAAAGAGACGUCCAAGGAUCCAUAUAUGGAGGGAGUUUUGUUGGAGACUGAGAACAUGCUAGCUCGUGGUAGAUUGGAUCUACCUCUCAGUCUAUGCUUUGCAGCAAUGAGAGGAGAUGACUUGCUGUUGCAUCAGUUGUUGAGACGGGGUUUGGAUCCGAAUGAAUCCGACAACAAUGGAAGAACAGCUCUGGUAUGUGAAAUCUUCUGCUACUGAUUUUACUUUUUCUUACUACGCAAUAUUCUGAAUAUGAUUUUCUAACAUUAGCUUUCACAUUUACUGUGUAAAACCAGCAUAUAGCUGCAUCCCAAGGAAGUGAGAACUGUGUGCUUCUACUAUUGGACUAUGGAGCACUUCCUAACAGUAGAGGUAAGACCAAGGGCUAUUAUAGUUAAGUUAAACCAUCAUUAUUGACUUCAUCAGUAAGAAGGUUGAUCAUAUUAUAUGCAUUUGGUUUAAUAAAUUCAUAUAUUAAACACAAGAGAUGUUAUCAAUUUAGAGAACUUUGCCUUGUAGUGAACUAGUCCAGUUUGUGGACUUGGGAUGUUGCUUGCAUCAGUUGCAUGGUUUUUUUUUUUAAGAGUCCAAUAAGAUACAUAAUUUAAAACUAUUUCAUUGGUAUGAAAUUCCAGAACAGAUUCAGUUUUUCUUAGUCAUGUUGCAGGCUUGCAGCUGUGAUUAUUCAUACAUUUCUUUUAGUGCAUUUUCUUAUUGUGUGUGGGAUCCAAGUCCCAAGUGUUGACCAUUGGGAAUUGGCCUAACUUGAUUACCUGAUUUUGUUCCCUUCUCAUACAUGACUCUAGUUUUUCUUUCCCUUAAGAGUAAGUUAGCAUAUCAUGUCUGUUGAGUGUUGACUUUCCUAAUCAGACUACCAACUAUAUCACUCAAUUAUUUGCUUCAUUAUGUUAAUUUUAUUAUAGUAUACUAGAUCAUAGUCGUCAUCAUCAUAUAUGUUAGAAAAACCAGUUGACUUGAUAACAUGAUCCAAAAACAGCUUCUUCAUGCCUUUUAAUACACAUGAGUGCGCGGGAGGCAUGCAUCUGUGCCUCACUUCUUGCUUGGUUAGUAAUAUAAAGCCUGUUUGAGUCUCCUGGGGAUCUGGCAUGGUUAUCUCAUCCCAGUUUAUUUAGUAUUAUCUUAAGAUGGAAUCCCCCGUCCUCUAUAUUUUAUCACAACAUGCAAGCAAGAUUGCAAGGAUGAAAGAUACAUCUUCAUAGGGAAAGCUUUCAUGUUACUUCUUGAUUGUGAUUCAAUCUCGUGGUUGUGCAAAUAGAUCUUUGUGUAAGAACUAAGCUUUGUGACAUGAUUUUCCUACACUGCCGACUUAUAAGUUGUUAAUUCGUAUUGUUUAGGGUGAAAUAAGUCGAUGCAUAAUGCCUUCUGUUGUUGAAAGAGUUGCUUAUCUAUGUUGACCACAUGAAAUCGAUUGCAAUGCUAACAUGAACUGAUGAACAUGUAAUGUUUCCACUUGCUGGAGAUUGAACAAAGAACUUAACUGUGUUCUAUGAUUUACAGACUCGGAGGGAAAUGUACCACUGUGGGAGGCGAUACAGAAGGAUCAUGAAACGAUUGCGAAAUUGCUCGUAGACAAUGGUGCAACUUUGAAUGCUGGGGAUGUUGGUCAUUUCGCUUGCAUUGCUACUGAGGAAAACAGGUUGGACUUGCUCAAAGAAAUAGUUCGACAUGGAGGUGAUGUCACAACUCCUAGAGGCAAUGGAACCACGGCUCUCCAUGUCGCAGUGUCCGAAGACAACAUUGAAAUUGUGAAAUUCCUUGUGGAAAAGGGGGCUGAUAUCGACAAGCCAGACCUCCAUGGCUGGACUGCAAGAACUCUAGCUGACCAGCAAGGACAUGAAGAGAUAAAAAGCCUUUUUCAAUCGAGAAAAGAGACCAAAGAUCAAUCUGUUAUAAGCAUUCCUACUGAGCAAAAGACUGGAAUUCGCUUCCUUGGGAGAUUUACAAGUGAGCCAAACAUCCAUCCUGCCUCCCAGGAAGGCUCAUUUAUAGUACCAGAUGGGGGAUCAUUGGGUCGAAGCCGCCCAAGGCGUAGGACUAACAACUUUCAUAACUCACUUUUCGGGAUGAUGUCAGCUGCACACACAGGGGAGAAGGAUUUGUUCUUCUCUGUCAGGAAAACCACCGAAACCACUCCUAAGGGUACUGGGAAUAAUCCUAACCCUGCUAGAGUGACAAUUAGUUGCCCUGAAAAGGGUGAAGUUUCAGGGAAACUUGUAUUACUUCCUGACAGUUUUGAGGAGUUACUGGAGGUUGGUGCCAAGAAAUUUGGUCUCACUCCGGCUAAAGUUCUGUGCAAAGAUGGAGGAGCUGAAAUCGACGAUAUAGAGGUGAUUAGAGACGGUGAUCAUCUUAUUUUUGUCAGUGGCCAAGAUGAAUCAGAACCUCAAGAAUGUAAUGGAGAAGAUACUCCAACUAAAAAAGAUGUGUAGUACAUGCAUAGGAAGUCCAUAUUUGAAUCUCUCUUCCUACGCUUGGAUGUGCAAAAACCAUUCUUACAGCAAAUGUACGUAGUUUUGUCCCAAGAGAAAACUUCUUGGCGACAAUCACCCCAGUAAAGUCGUUGUACUAAUCUGAACUCUUUACCGACAACAUAUUCCACGACGGUUGUUUUAGAGGUGUCAUGGUCAGCCCAAAUGUACCAUUGCCACGGGCUUGGCAACACUGCUCAACUGAAGUUGUGUAAAGUGUAAAUAUCUCCAACUUUGUUCCUGCUACGAAAUUACAUUUCAGAUGAUACACUAUAAUGUACAACUAUGUAAAAAUUAAAGCAGUAGAACGAGCUACGCCUCAAAAUUGUACAACUAGUUUGAGGCUUGAAUAUCAUUUUCCAGAUUUUGACGAGACCAACACAAUUUACAGCCUUGCGGUUACUAUAGGACACUUCUCUCCCAAAAACGUCAUUUAUGACCACUGUUGGUCAGUUUCCUAGAGCAGGAUGACAUUUUAAUGAAUACAAGUGAGACUAUCCUUUCCCUUGUAUGCUCCUUUAUAAUGUUUUUUUUUUUUGGAGAGAUGUUCCUUUAUAAUGUUACUCUUACCAAGCAUAAGUAUACAUCAGGGAUGUCAAAUUCUGAUACAUUAAACACUCGAAAGGCAAUUUGAAACUCCUCGUCUAUCACUACAGUAACUUGAGCAUUUUCAGACGCUCUUCAUGUUCAGGAUCCAACUUUGGUGGGGUAUAACAACCAUGAAGAUCCUCCACUACGUACUCCUGCAAAACGUUGAAAUUAUAAGAACUCUUCGUUUUCUGAAUGAUACAUUAUCCAAAAUAGUUUUCAGAUUAUAAGAAUAUACUUCUAAGUUCAUGGAAAACUAAUCACUGUGUGCAACUAACCUUUGUGAGUUCCUUUUUGGUCAGGAUAUGGUAAUGUCUCUGCCAGAUUCUCUGAAUAGCCAUAGUAGCAGCCAGGAAACCAUAAGCUAUGCCAAGAAUAGCAAAGAUGACAACAAAAACAAUAACCAGGGCAAAGCAUGCCUCCAUAGACGCAGGGAAACAAUCCAAUAUUCCCCAUCCAUAACAACAGUUCUGGCAGCCAGCCAUCCGUGGGUCAUUGCUAUUGAAAGAUGAACAGUGUACUAUAAGCCCAAAAAAUCCAAGCAGCACAAAAAAGGCAAUGACACCUGGUAACAAGUGCAUAAAGCAGCAAUUCAGUACAAGUCAAUAGCUGCAAGAGAUUAAGAACAAAUGCAAAAUCAUAACCCUUCUCAUACAAAACUACUAGAAACAGAACCUUGACACUGCUGAUGAGUAAUACAGCUGACAAUUAGCUUCCACAGAUUCGAGUAUUAAUAAGGAUGAAAUGCAAAAGGAAGAGAAGUGCUUGUGCAUGAGAGGGUUUGCCAUAAGCAUUAGGUGGCAGUAGCACAAAGAAUCAUGGACAUUAAGGUCUUGAGAACACAGUUAUUGUUAAUAGUACUCAGCAAUAUCCAAAAUAUUACUUCAAACACAGGGGUUGUUGUAUGCGUAUGGAAAGAAACUAAUAUCAUGAUUGUUUCUUGUCAGAAACCCCUACUUCCCCUCAAGAUCUACCAGUCUGCCACUUAUGAUGCAGAAUAUGAAGUAUAACAAUUUCCUUUAAUAUGAUUAUUUCUGAUAAAUAAGCAUUUAGAACAUAAACAACUCAACCCUGAUUGGUUAAUUAGAUACUAGAGACUUGUGAGCUCCACAUUAUUGACACAUUUCAAUGAAGCAAGGAAAACUACACCACAUUAUUUUUAAACAACAGUUUUUAGGUGUAAGAGUUUACCUAUGCAAUAGUAAAAUGGUAUAGGGUGCUUUGACAAGAUACGAUCCCAACCAUCACUGAACGAAUUCCUGAAGCCACCAUCUUUGUCCAUCAGAUAUGCAAAGCCACCAAUUGCGGCAAUUACCUGGAAAGUAAAGAAGAAUGCUUAUCGUAAGAAUCUUGACAGUAUAUGGAAGUAAUAGAUUGAUACAAUCCAGUAUAAACCAUUUCAUGUAACAUAAUGCAAAAGACUAUCACUUACUGUUUGUACAGCCACAAAUACAAGUAUAACAUCCCUUGCCACAAAAAUUCUGAAUUUCAUUUUACGCCAAGUGUUGUCCUCAUACGAUUCAACUCGAAGAUGAAAUUGGGCUUUGCAAGUGGUGCAGUGCGAGAAAGCAAAUCCUUCCUAGAAAGAGAAAAGGCGAAGUUCCGGGGGAAUUAAGUUCAGGCAAUUACAACAUUGAAUUGCCAGUGACAAAAGAGUCACAAAAUGACAUACUCUAAAGAGAAAGGUUAUUUACCUUAACCGAGCGCCAGUGAUCAAGACAGGAUAUGUGCACAAACUGCUGGGUGCCUUUGCACAAGCACGGCGAUAUCAACUCAUCACCUGUAAAAUUACAAAGGUCGAAAGUAAGCAAUAAAACCUUUGCAUCUGCCUACGAAGCAACGAGUGCUAGAGAUACACAUAACCAUUAACCACAGUAUACAUGAAACUUCUAUUCAACCCUGAAUUCAGCUAAACUUAAUACCUACAAAGAAUCUUAUAUCCAACAAACAUAUAAAACAUAACCAGAAUCACACUCAUUUCUGCCCUUAUAUCUUCGGAUACAACACGAUGUAAUGUUUCACCAACAAAACAAACACAAUAACAGCAUGAUCAGACCAAAAUGCCACAUCUUUAAAACCCGAAAAAUUCAACCUGCAUCGGAAUCGCUUUCGAGGCAAAUGCGACAACAAGCAACAGAGGAGCCAUUCUCAAUGUCUUCAUUUCUAAUCUCACUGGAGCUCGCCGGAGCCGACGACUCGUCGUCGUCGUCGUGGCUGCUCUGUAGCAGAGGGUCCAAGUCACUAGGAUCAUUCGGUUCCCGUUCCCCUACUACUACUGGUUCCAGCUGCACUUCCCGAUUCAUUGAUCAAACCCUAAAAUAAACCCCCAAAAUCACCGAUCAAAAACCUUCAAAUUAUACAGAAAUUUCUCACAGAACAAAAUUGAAUUUGAAAAUUGAAUGAUCAAUUAAACUUGAUUUUUGUUUUAAUUUCAGAAAUUAAAAAAAGUAGUACCUGGAGUUGUGCAGAGAAACGAUGAAUGGAGAAAAUCGGAGACAGGAGAAUUGAGGAAGACGAAGAUUGAGAAAAGAGCGAUACUUCCUAUACGACGUGCCGUCCGCGCCUUUGUUAAUCAUUGGCAUAUUUUACUAUAUUGGGCAAGUAGGAUGGGCCUUAUUGUUGGAGGAUGUUGGGCCUCUCGACCCAACUCGGUCUCCUGGUAUCCCGCCAAAACUCCUACUCGAGUCAGGAAAACGACGUCUUAAGCUCAGAAUGGCCUCCAAUCCAUAAAACGAAGUUUCUCAUAGCUAUGGCCAAACCAGCUCAGUAUGCCACGUCGUUUAUAACACGUCACUAAUUAAUGAUUUCUCUAAUCGUGAUCUUGAGCAUUCUUAAUUUAGAUCGGUCACAUUCAUGAAUUACAUUCUUAAUUUAGUUUCUUACUCGAGUCAUAAUUAGUCUACCUGAAUUUGUAUCGUAAAUCUUAUCUGAAUCUAUAUCCUACAAUUUAUUCUUUAUGAUUUACUUAUGAUUCUAUGUCCUUUUCUAUAUUCUAUAUCCUAUUUAUAUAUAUUCUUUUUGAAAUUUUUGAGAAGAGAAGCUUGUCGAGGGAGAUUUCUUGAGUUGAUUGCAAGCUUAAUUAAACGAUAAUAAUAUACAGAAAAGGUUCGUUGGAUUCAAUGAAAGGUGGUGAUAUCCCAAAAGAAUUGUUAGUUGAAAUCCUUUGUCGACUGCCGAGCGCUGAAGCUGCUUGUCAAUGUAAGCUUGUUUCAAAGAGUUGGUGCACUCUCAUAUCGAAGCCUUACUUCAUUGGACGCUUUCUGUGGAUCCAAAGAGCGAGAAAAGCAAACCGCAGUGCUUGGUACUAUAAUAAACGAAUUUGGGGAUGCACUCCUUGCCACAGAACUGACAGAAGUAGUGUUCAGUGUUCACGGCCCAGGAGGCCAGGAGGGUGUGGUUUUCAAGUUUUGACAUGUUUUCCAAUAUAGGGUAGCAUAUAUAUUGAGCUCAAUAUGAUUCAAAAUAACGCUAAAACAGUGUUUUGUAUCUGCUUUUUUAUUCAUUACAGAUUGAGAAUUUAGCAUUUGAUGAAAUGAUUCCUGGCAUAUGUCUCUGCCAUCUACUCAUGCAUGCCCUUCUCCUAGUUCUAUUUCAAUUACACAUCUGCAGCUGCCCUCUAGCAUUACAGAAAUCCUCAGAUGGUUCCAGUAUUCACAAGCACAAAUUGAAGCAGGGCAAGGACGUGUUGAAUACGGCGGACCAUAUAUACUAGUCUGGGGUGACUCUGGUCCCUUUGCUAUAUGGAAUGCCUCUAAAGUCUAAAGUCAUGGCCUGAGUCUUUGGCCUUUAUGACUGCUUCCUACUACUCACUUUCAACGGACCCAUGCAUGCCUAUAAUUUCUACGUUCCCAGUUCAAUUCCAGACAUGAUUGAUUUCUCUACUGCAACAGCAUGGACGUCGACAUUGACACAGACAUUAUUGGAUAUUAAUUCGUGCCUCAUUUCAAAUCCUGGAAAUAAGCUCAUGAAAAAGCUCGAGCUCUAUAACCUUCCUAUAUAUUUUCCAAGAUGAAUAUAUAAUCUCAACCAUGUGCUGAUCAUCAUACUAAAGAAUAAUAAUCUCUCAACCAACUCGAUUAUGAUAUAUUACGCAAAUUAAUAUCGAAUUUGAAUUAUUUGUUAAUAUUAAAGAGUUUGAACAUCAACGUUUCAUGAGUUUGAAUUCUAUAUAUGAUUACCAAACAUAAGUUGACCAGAAGCUUCCAAGGAGGCUGAGGCAGUAUCCAGGUAACUUCAGUUCGUGAAGGCCUAUGAAAAGUAUAUAUCAUACAACUAGAGUGCACGCAUCUAUUUGUAUACACGAAAAUAUGAAAAUGACAUAAUCUGCUUCUUCGUUGAAGAUAAAAAUUCUCUAUCUGUAGAUUAAUAAACGUACAAGUGCCAAUUCCAAAAGCAUUUCUAGAAUGUGUAAUUACAUAUUACAUUGACAAGAAAAAAAACUAACACAUUUUCACCGCGCGCCAUGGAUCGGCUCCAGCUAGCUGUCUUCUGUUGAUGAAUAUAUGAUACACAGUCCAAACCCAAUAAAUCACACCCUGCAUACAAUACAUAUAUAUGAAAAAAUCGAAUAUUUGAUCAUAUUAGGUGAAACUCAAUGAAGGUGAGGUGAUCAAUCAAUUAAAUUAGCUUACUGUUGGAACUCAAUGUUGACGGAAGUAGCCGAUGAGUUGGCAAUAGCAGCGAAAGCCGUCUGCGACAACACCAUGGUGGUGCCGGCCGCAGAAGGCUGUGAAGUAACGCUGGCAGCAUACUCCACAAUCCUGAUCUGAAUGGUCUUGUCCGGAACACACGUCCCCGUUUGAGCUGCGCUAAUGCAUCUCACCAAGUACUGCCUCCCACAUGACGCUCCGUUGUCCCAUAUUCCAUCUCCGGCCGCCGCAAACAAGUUACUUGACGGAAACUGUGACGAGUCGCUUCCAUAACAGUCGGUGGCUAAAAGGGAACAAUAUUUGUGAUAAGGGUAAUGUCCAUAAGAACAUAAAUGGUUCACAUGAAGAUGGGUAAAGAUGUAACUUACGUAAAUAUGGGGGAGCAUACUGAGCAGCAGUGCCAACGUCGGCGUUUGAUGUUUGGAAAAGCUGUGGAAAUAAGAGCACGAGGAGUAAUGAAAGGUAAGGCAGAUAUUGUGGAUGAGUUGUGAUCAUCUUUUUCUCUGCAGAAAAGGGUGUUUGAGAUUUGGAAGAUAAGCUCUGGGAUGCAAGGAGAUUUUUGUAUUCUAUAUUAUUCCAAGUCAACGAAAAUUGGGUAUCAUUUUUAUCUAGAAUUGACGGCUAGGCCAACUCAUAACGCGGGUUCGGCAGUUAAACGUAAGCCACAUGGUAUGAACUCUAUCUAGAACUCAUCUAACACGUUUACUUUUUGUUUCUGGUGUGUCGUAGACUACUGUAAUAUUCGACUCAUAAUAGACUAAUUGUUACAUAAACGAGUAGACUAUUGUAAUGUUCGACUCACAAUAGACUAAUUGUUACAUAAACGAGUUGGUAUCCGUUACCUAAGCAAGAAAGGUCUGAAAAUCUAGAUCAGAUGAUCUAAUCAAUGAAUUGAUAACCAUUACUUAAGCAGGAAAGGUCUGAAGAUCUAGAUAAGAUGAUCUAAUUCGGUGAGGGGAUUGGAGUAUAGCUACGUCAUGCUUUGCUUCCUAUGAGGGUCACAGUUAUAUAAUUACAAUAUAAACUGCAAAAUUCAAUGAUCCUCCACCGAAUAAAUAUGACUUUUGCAGUUCAUAAUUCAAUGCCUUCUCCAUUCAUGAUCCAACUAACCAGAUCACAUUUGACAUUUUCCAAUGAUUGCGGUAUCCAGAAGUUCACCAGAGGAGGAAAGUGAAUUUGAAGCUUAAUAUGGUGUAGACAUACACAAGUCUAAACACUGAAAUUUGUACCAAAAGGAUCCCAAACAAACAAAGGAGCUUUGGUGCGUUUACAACAGUUAAAAAACGCAGAGUAAAGCAGUAAUAAGCGUCCGCGUAAGAACAUCUCACUUCCACAGCUUGCGCAGGGACAUGUUCUUCUCAGUCUCCUUCUUCAUAACCUUGGCAACUGCCAUCUCAAAGUCUUCUUGGGUUACAUGCACUCUCCUCUCCCUCAGUGCAAACAUUCCUGCUUCAGUACAUACAGCCUGCGAGAAGGAAAACAAGAUAACAUGGUUAGAUCUUAUAUGUCCAGACAAAAUACCAACUUCCUAAUGACUCCCCCAGUAAGAAGAAAACACAACAUUACCUUCAACUCAGCACCAGAUGCGCCAUUCAUUUUCUCGGCAAUCUUCUUCAGGUCUAUUCCACGCAUUAAAUUCAUUCUUCUUGAAUGGAUUUUCAGGAUGUCCCAACGAGACUCUUCGUUAGGGUUGGGAAAUUCAAUUUUCCUGUCUAUGCGUCCUGGCCUCAGCAGGGCUUGAUCCAAAAUAUCAAUACGAUUUGUAGCCAUCAAAACCUGAGAUAUAAUGGUGGUGGUUAGAAUGAAGGAUAAAAUUUAGAAAGGUGAAUGUCAUAAUUUUCGAAAGCCACAUGAUGCAUCGUGUACCUUGAUUUUGUUUGAGGCCUCAAAUCCAUCCAGUUGAUUAAGAAGCUCAAGCAUAGUCCGCUGCACCUCACUGUCACCAUUGCCACUGCCAGAUUCCAUACGAGCAGAUCCAAUACUAUCGAUUUCAUCCAUAAAGAUGAUAGAUGGAGCAUGUUCCCUGUAUGAAUGUAGAAGUAAAAAAGUGAGAAAACGGUAGAUGAUAUAAUGUGAAGAAUGUUAAGGGCUGAAGAGCAGCAAAUUAUUAAUUGAUUAAAGAUCCUAUCCACAAAUCAUCUUAAAGAAAGGUUGUUAUAUUUAUUUUAGAAUGGGUCUGAGUAAAUGGCCAUUCUUGAUUCUUCUUUGUGGGGCAGCAACGGACAUAGACGUAGAGAAACAUCCCUAAUUCUAUCCAGAUCAGCAUAGAUUGAUCAUACUAGGAGUACUAUACAAUACAAAUUGCAAUAGAAAGCUUAUUCAACAAAUUAGAGCCCCAUUAUAAAACUCUAGGAUCUACUGUAGUUCAUUUAAAAAGCAAACAGAAUUCAGAAACCAAGCAGCAUUAUUCACAUGCCAACAAUGCAAACAUAUGGAAGAGUAGGAUGAUUAACAAUAGAUCAACACAAACCUGGCCAUGACGAAAAGUUCUCUAACCAUUCGGGAACCUUCCCCAAUGUAUUUCUGAACCAACUCUGAACCAGAGACCCUGAUGAAAGUACAGUCGGUAUGAUGAGCCACAGCCCUAGCCAACAAGGUUUUUCCAGUGCCGGGGGGACCAUAAAGCAGGACUCCCUGUUGAAUCAAACAAAGAGUGCCAUAGGAUUAGUGACUACGGGUAAGCAAAUAAUAAAAAAAAACCAAUAAAUUGAAAACGUAAUUAUACCUUUGGCUGAGCUAUUCCAAGACUUUCGAACAAUUCAGGAUGUUUAAUUGGAAGUUCAAUGACCUGCAAAAAUGAACAUAUAUCAUUUAGACAAGUUGAAGAAUGUCCUGAGUAUUAUCACAUAGAGACAAGCCACACUCGACAAAUACAGCUAGCAGAGAAUCUAAAUUCAAGCCAAAUUUGAAACACGGACUGACGUUGACCAGUGAAUCUUCUUCCUCAAGAAGGAUACAAUCUUAUCACCUACUAGAAGAGCUCUUAGUUAUCUAAGUAAUGUAACAUCUAUAAGAAGAUAAGUAACAGUUGGAAUAUGAAAACAACUUAAUCCUUCUAAUAACAUAUAAACCAAAAUGCAGUUCAAAGAAAAGAAAAUAAGUCAAAGUUGAACUCUGGAAGAGAGAUGCUGUCAAGAUAUUGAUGCAUAUGGGAUUGUGGAUUAAAUGAAAAGAGGGGGGAGAAGAAUAAGAAAGAUAAAGGCAAAACUGAAAAGGGUAUGCCUGCAAGUUAUGUUUAAUCUGAUCUUUUAUAUUCAUCCAGACAAUUUUUGUAAGAAUGAAGACAUGACAAGUAAUUAGAUAUAUGAGUUUAGCUUAUACCAUGAGACCUAUACAGGUAGAUAACCGGAAAUGAAAGCCAGGUGGCAUAACAGUACAAAAGUAAUACAACAAAAACGCAAACUAAAAUAGACACAAGUAUCGUGCAAAGAAUCUAAAUUCAAGAGUAAGAAUGUGCAGAAGAAAACCUCUUUGAUUUCUUUAAUCUGCUGAUCCAGACCACCAAUCAUAUCAUAUGUAGAAUCUGGAACCUUCUCCACUUUCAUCAGAUUGACAAGAGGAUCAACUUUGCUUGGCAGUACUAAAUGAAGAACAUAGCUGUCAUUGCGGAGAGCCACACGUGUAGAUGGUGUGAUCUUUGUAAUAUCAAUGUUCUUAUCGAUAUCAACCACAUAUUUCCCUUCCGGAUGAACCUGAAAACAAAGCAGGUCAAAAAUUUGUCAGAUGUUGUUAUCGACUUGCAGACAGAAUGUUAACUAUUUCACUGUUUGUUAAAACACACAGCCACUUACCUUAACCAAAACCUUGUUCUUUCCCAUGACGUUGACAACCUCACCGACAUAGGACCCAGGCUCCUGAAGAAGCUGCAGUUCUUCCCUGAGCAUUCUCACUGUUCAAAACACAUAAACAAUCAAUCCAAUAACUCAGUUAAGUAACACACUAACAUACCAAAUUAAGCAAAAUCUAUAUAACCAAAGAUCCCAAAAGGUACAACAUCUUCUAGAAUAAUUCUAGUGCACUUGUUUACUCAUCUUGUUCACCAAGAUUUACACUUUACCCCGAAAUCAAAUAUUUGCCCUAAUUUUAUCCCAACAGAAAGCAGAAGCCAGCACCUUUUCACAUUCAAUCAACAAUUGCUAAGAACCCCAUCAAACUAUAUCAGCUAGCCCUAAACCCAAACCAAACUAAACCUAAAAUUACCCUAAAUUGAGAACCCAGUACCAAUCGGAACAAACCCUAACCAGUCCAAUUGAAAUUCCUAUAACCAAUAACCAGUUACUAGGGUUAGGGAUUCGAAAAAUUGAAUUCCCAAUUGGAAUUAGAGCCUCACCUCUGGAAUUGAGCUCGUUACGCUGAGCCUCGAGUCGAUUGAGAUUGUGGGUCUUCUGGCGGACCUGGAGCUGGAGCUCGUGAAUGUGUUGGAGGUAGUACGGCCGGAGCCCAUCGCCGAGUUUGGAGGCGGCGAGCUUGGACGAGCAGGUCUCCUCCGGCACGGCAUCGAUGGGCUUGGUCUCGGCGGCGACUGCAGCCAUCGUGAUCAAGCAAAGCCCUAAACUUUGGAAUCGGAAUUUGUGAGAUUGGCGAUUUGGGGGUGUGAGGAGUUUGAGAGAAGAGAGAUGUCGUGUGUGUCGUUUUGAGUUGGAAAACAAAGGUGAGGGGAGGUGUGUUUUAUUUAUGGGGGAGGGUUUCUUUUUGGUUAAGUUAGCUUUGUAAGGGUAGGAGAUGGAUUAGAGGAUAAUGGGCACAUAUUAGGAAUUACUGCAAAUUUUAGGAUUUCUGUUCUUUUGUUUAAAUUGAAUUGCUAUUUUCUUAAGGAAGUUGCAAACAUGGAAUCCUUGUUGUGAGAUUAGUUAUUGGGGGGACAAUAAAAAUGAUAAUAUUUCAAAGGAAAAUACUUGUGUCCGGACUAGUAUAUACGUGCGUGUCCGGACUCUCUGUUAUUUACACACUUUUGGUAAUGUAAAUCAUAAUCUUAAGUGUUCAAAAAUUUGAUUAACUAAUAAAUAUCAUCUCUGUAAAAUAUCAGUGUAAAAAAAAUCGUUUGCUUAGCCGAAUGAAUCAAAUAAAUUGACGGCUAAUCAUGAGGCUGUUAACUUUCACCAUAAGUAUUCAUUUGUUUAAUACAAUCGGGUGAGCAAACGAAUUUUGUUUACAUUAAUUUUUCACAGAGAUAAUCUUUAUUGGUUAAUCCAACUUUCGAACUGUUAAAAUUAUGAUUUACAUUGUCGAAAGUAUGUAAAUAACAGAGAAUCCGGAUGUACACGUACAUACUAGUCCACAAGUAUUUUUCUAUUUCAAAUUAGUGACACUCAAGAGACGAGGGAGAUUACUAGUUGACGAGGUUUAAGGUGAUAGUUUCAUGUGUCUCAUCUUAGAUUUCGACUAAGUUUCAUUAUUAUUCUCAAUGUUCACAGCUUUUAAAUUGCAUAUAGCUUUAAUAUGUGAAUCAUACACAUUUUCUAGUGUGUCGAUUGGUGAACAACACUCUUACAGAUUUCAUUAAAGAAUCGUUGCUCAUUUCAUUAUAGAAUAACAUGUAUCACUUCUCUUUGAAUCAUUUCGACUGUCGGCAUAAGUUUCAUUCUUUUUACAUGCUUCACAAUAAUAGUAUGAACAAGUAGACAAUUUAAGAGACCUGAACUGAAGGAGUUUGGGCUGCAUUGGACUACCUAAGAAAGCCCAUUGUUCAAUAGAAGGAAGGCCCAAGAGUGGAGCCUAUAUAAUUGAGAGCAUUGCCAAACAUGGUCUUUGCGCCUAGCCCUCUGUGUGAGUCUGUUCCUCUUUUUAACAUUUUUCUUUUAGAUUUCCAAAUUAGGUUUUCUCCUCUCUCUCUGUAAUUUCUCCUCACUAUUAGAUUUUGAUUCCACCAUUGUUGUUUUGAGGGUUAGGAGGUGUGGAUUUGUGUUUCAAACUCCUUAUUGAUAUUUCGUCUUCCCACCUGUUUCCAAAUACCGCCAAAUUUUUCUAUCUCCGCAUAAAAAAAUCCCCAAAUUGAGAAGAACAAAAGCUUUGAUUUUUAGGGCAAUCUAACACAAUUAGGGUUAGGGUUUCAAUCUCAUAAGUACAGAUCACGAAAAAGAAAGCAUCUUUUUUUAGUUUUUGUUUUUGGGCUUUCGAUUAGAUAUGGAGAAGAAGAAGGUGGCUGUGCCUCUGGUUUGCCACGGCCAUUCCCGGCCGGUGGUGGAUCUGUUUUACAGUCCGGUCACUCCCGAUGGCUUCUUCCUCAUCAGUGCCAGCAAGGGUAUGUGUUCCGAUAUCGAAAGAUUCGAUCUUUUUUCGUGUGUUUGGAUUGAAUUACAUGCUUUGGGUGGUUCUAUUUUACUCUGUACAAUGCUGCGUAUAUGUAUAUGUGUAUGAUUGGGGUUUUGUUUCGUGAUAACUUAUGUAGAUUGGUUUGAAAUCGUAAUGGAGGGAUGUUUUGACUAGUCUUUGUGAUAGUAAGUUAUGGUAGAUUAAGUAAACUUGCAAUGGGAUAUGUUCUUAGGAUAUAUAGUCCAGCUGAAAGGAAAUGUUUUGGAUCAGUGGUUUCAUGUCACGUUUAGAAACCUUAGAGCUACUAGAAGUUGAACAUUUAUUGCACUAUCAGUGUACUCAACAGUAGUGAUUUUGGGAUAUUGACGAAUAAGGUGUAUUGAGUAUAUGAGGUGUUAAGAUCAUUGUUGUGUUGUUGCUCUUUAAUGGGUUGCGAUUGGAAAUCUUCUUUAAUCUGUGUAAGUUAUUUAGAUAGCGAACUGAUAUAGAAGUUUUUGAUGCUUGUGUUGUUAGAUUCUAGUCCCAUGCUGAGAAAUGGUGAGACUGGAGAUUGGAUUGGAACCUUCGAAGGACAUAAGGGUGCAGUCUGGAGCUGCUGUUUGGAUACUAAUGCCCUAAGGGCUGCCACCGCUUCCGCAGAUUUCUCUGCGUAUGGAUUUAUCUUUUGAUUUCCCAGAUUUCUCUGCGAGUUGAAAAUGAAAACCUUAAUUCUGUUUCUUAAGUAUGUUAUUUUUGCAUGCAGUAAAGUUUGGGAUGCGUUAACAGGAGAUGUUCUACACUCUUUUGAACAUAAGCACAUUGUUCGAGCAUGUGCGUUUUCAGAGGUAAGCUCCUGUUCUUGACCUAACAGCUCUGUAGAAGUGAAAUAAACUUACAGAGUAAUCAUACAAACUGUGCUCUUUCCAUUUUCUGUAGUGUUAUCUGCUUGAAAUGUCAUGCUAAAUGUGAUAAUGUUGAAUAUUAUGUGUAAUCGACUGUGUUAAAUUCAUUUGGAGUAGCUAUCUGCCUACCUCUAAUUUGAAAAUGAUUUCCUAGUGGUUUAUGUGCUAUAUUAAGAGGGAUUCUAAUAUAGUGGUAGACUUUGAAUAUUUCUUUGGGGCUUAGUUGUUUGUUACACAUCAGCCACUAAAGUUCAUGAUAAUAUUUUGAAUCCAUCAUAGUUGGUGCAGGUUUUAAUUUCAACAGUAUAUGAGAUUUUAUGCUGGAGUUCUCCUAUAUGCCAUGCCUUUUCUUAUUUUCUUGUAUCAUAAUUCUAUUCUCUUGAUUUGGUAAUAGGAUACACACCUUUUGUUAACUGGAGGAGUAGAGAAAGUUAUCCGUAUAUACGACUUGAACAGACCAGAUGCCCCUCCAAGAGAAGUGGACAAAUCCCCUGGUUCAGUUAGAACUGCUGCAUGGCUCCACAGUGAUCAGACCAUAUUAAGUUCUUGCACUGAUAUGGGCGGUGUCAGGUAUACAUUUAUAUGAAAAUAAUUGAUGUUAUGAGGACUCAAUUGUUCUAUAUUAAGUUGCACAUAUUUCGUACUAUAAAGUGACGGGUAGUGAUUGACUGAUUGGUGAAUGUGCAGAUUGUGGGAUGUAAGAACUGGGAAAAUAGUUCAAACACUUGAUACCAAGUCAUCUGUAACAAGCUCUGAAGUCAGUCAAGAUGGUCGAUACAUCACCACUGCUGAUGGGUCUACAGUCAAGUUCUGGGAUGCAAAUUAGUAAGUUAUGAGUUAGAAUGUUCAGUAUUUUUCAGAGUUUCUGCUCAGUUAGCUUAUGCCUUUUACUUGCUUUCAGCUUUGGGUUGGUGAAGAGCUACAACAUGCCUUGCACAGUAGAAUCAGUGUCCCUGGAACCCAAGUUUGGGAAUAAGUUCAUUGCUGGUGGAGAAGACAUGUGGGUUCAUGUUUUCGAUUUCCAUACUGGUGAUGAGAUCGGUAAGUAAACUAUAACAAAAUACUUUUCUUAUUGAAUCUUCUUUGGGGUGGAUGUUGUGUGUUAAUGUCCUUGGAUUUUAUGCUGUAUUUCCAAUGCUGAAUCUUUACUCAAGCUAUUGUAUCUUGAUGCAGCCUGCAACAAGGGUCACCACGGUCCAGUGCACUGCGUUCGAUUUUCUCCAGGAGGAGAGUCCUACGCCUCUGGGUCCGAAGACGGCACCAUCCGAAUAUGGCAGACAGGCCCUUUGACUAAUGAAGAAAGUGAGGCGCAGGCAGCAAAUGGAGCUAUCGGAAAGGUGAAGCCACCCGUGGAAGAGGUCUCUCGAAAGAUUGAGGGCUUCCAAAUCUCCGACGAGGGCAAGUCCAAAGAGAAGGAAGAGGCACCGUCAGCAGCCACAGCAUCGGUGAAUGUGUGACUUUGUUCAGAGUGUCUGUCCAGAGAGUGUAUUAGCCGUUGCCCGGCACAAGUUCAGAUCUAUUCCUGGUUAAAGUACUACUUGGGUUACAUAGACAGAUGGAAACAAAUUUUUUGUACAACUUUCACUUCUGCAUUGUCGAGAUAUAUAGACUAUGUUCUUGUUACUGCUUGUUCAGACUACCUUAUAAAUGGAACUUUUCAGCUUCUUCUGGUUUAUAUUUCCUUCUAAGAAUAUGGAUCAUAACAUAUCAACAUAGCCUAAAAAUCAAUCCUUAAUUCCUAACUAGCUGACAAAGGAAGAGCAGAAUGCCAUGCUUGAAAUUAGGAUUGUAGUCUCAUUUGUGACAAUCCUAUGUGUUCAUAAUUUAAAGUUGGGCAAAUGUCAAUUUAGUACUAAUUUUAAUCAUUCAUUGUCAAAGUUGGGCAAAUGUCAAUUUAGUACUAUUCCAACGACAAUAUGUUUUAUGAGCCUAUUUGAAACCUUUUUAUGCUUAAAUAGUCAAAUUUUUAUUAAAGUCUAUUAGACUAUUUUAACAAAUUAUAUUAUUUUGAGACUAUAUUACUUCCACCGCUUAAACAUGCAUUGAGAGAAAAGACUUCACCGGAACCUCAGACUUUGGCAACUGGCCACCAGACUCCUGUCAUCGGAAUUUCUCCGGUCACCGGUAACUUGGUUACUAACCCCAGUAACUUGAUUACUGAUCCCCAAUAACUCAUAUAUUUCCCAGUCGCCGGAUUUCGGUCAUCGUAACUCGGUUACUGACCCCUAAUAAUUAGUUAGUGACGGCCUUGAACUAUUACAAUGUCACAAGUGGUUUUUUAGUAUCUUCUAAUACCUCAAUUACCAAUUAUCUUAAAAAUAAAAUCGUUUACAUCCCACCAAACUGGGAAACAUGGAAGAAGAAAUUUAUGUCCAUAGCCACUAGCUUUGUGAUAUCACACACUACAAUCACGUAUAUAUACCCACAAAAUGAGCUUCGCAUUGGGAUAUUGUCACCUACAUGUUGUGACUUGUGACUUGUGUGGAACUGUUUCGGCAUGACCACUUCCCUCUUUCAUACCCUGCCUUCUACUUUGGAUACCAUCAUAAGGCGAAACCAAAAAUUUUAAUCGAAGGGAGCUAAUGUUAGCUUGUGCUGUCAAGUUCAUCAUUUCAUAUAAAGCUUAAUUUUCUACAACCAUGACUUCGAUGACUCUAACUCUAUGAAUGUGUAGCUGUUUUAAUUUUUAUAUAUUUGUAUUUUGAAGAGAUAAUUAGCUGUUUUUGAAAGCUAUACUAUGGAGAUUGUGAGGUCGCUGCAACCAAUUUUCUGGGCAAAAGGUUCUUAAACUGCCUUUCCGCUUCAAGUCAUUUAGGCCAUUUGCUGAGGUGCACUUAUUCUAAACUAAUACUAUAUUAAUCAUUGGAGCUCAGUUUAAAUUCAUUAGAAUGUAUAUGGCUCUCUUUGUAAACCAAACAUUCACAAGUAACAAUUUUACGAUCAACAUUGUCAUGUGGUGGUUCAGGUCAAUAACAACACUGACAUGAGACUCGUACUAGAAGAUGGAUGGAUCGGCUUCAUUCUCAAUUUUCAUGCCAUAUACAUGCAAAUGCAUUUUAAGGUUGUUAGCCAUAGCUAGUACUGCACUACAAUAAUUGAUAUAGCUACCUGAUAACAGCAAAGCCACUGUGGAAUACAUCGUGUUUCCAAUUGGGUCAGAUUAUCAGUCACUACUGAACACGUUUAAUUUGCAUCUUUCGCCCAUUUCCUCACCAAUUCAGGAGACUUGACUUGUUUACAUCGUUUUGAGAAAUUAAAAUGUUUCUCACGCUCGCACAUAAAACAAGAUUCAUGUCAUAUCGAUUUACUGUAGGAGAUGAAUAUCAAAUAGUCGAUGGAUUCAUUGAACUAUUUGACGACUCGAUUUUCAUGACACAUAUAUGCAUGUGGCGGUCGCUAGUACUUGUACCUUUCUUGGUCUGGCUUAUUGAGCUCUUGUAGACAUUUUACUAUAAAUACCAAAGAAACGGAAGCAUUUCAACUCAUACUACUACCCAGCCACUUAAUCAAACCUCUCAUAUAAUUUAGCCACAUUGAACUAUGUCUCUCACCUCCGUCAUUUUAGCUUCCCAAUCCCCUCAAACCCUGAAUAAUGCCGAUACUCGACGUUCGGCUAAAUACCAUCCCAGUAUUUGGGGAGAUCGGUUUCUGUCUUAUAACAACACUAUGGUUUGUACAUCCUCGACAUUUAGCAUACAUCUGUUACAUUUUGUUAUCUGCAUGUCUGAGCCUUAUCGAUGUAUGUAUUAAUUUGUUUCUUUAACUGGCUUGUAUGUAGGAAACUAACAUGCAAGGUAAGCAACAAGUAAUCCAACAACUGAAGGAAGAAGUGAAGAGGAUGCUGAUGGCUCCGCCGGUUGAAACUGGUUUGGGAAAACUGGAGUUGAUUGAUGACAUUCAACGCUUAGGCGUGUCUUACCACUUCGAAUACGAGAUUGACCAAACUAUGCAGCAAAUUCACGAAAACCUUAAUGGCACCUAUGAUGAUGAUGACUUGCACACUUGUGCUCUUCGUUUUCGCUUGCUAAGGCAGCAUGGUUAUAAUGUUUCUUGUGGUAAUUGAGAUCUCGACAAUCCUAUUCAUUCAUUUUAUUUUGUUUUAAAUAAGGCUAAUUUUGAUGCAUUGGCAUAUGAAUAAUUAAGCAGAUAUGUUCAACAAGUUCAAAGAUUGUGAUGGGAAAUUCGACGAAUCGCUUCACCACGAUGUAGCAGGACUCCAAAGCUUGUACGAAGCCACACAUCUUAGGGUGCGAGGAGAGGAUUUUCUAGAAGAAGCACUAGCCUUCACAACCACACAUCUACAGUCGGCAGCAAAUCGUUUGAGCCCCCCGCUUUCGAAACAAGUAAGGCAUGCCUUGAAUCAGCCACUUCGGAAGGGCUUACCGAGGCUAGAAGCGAGGCACUACAUGUCUCUUCACCAGGAACUGCAUGGAUCACGUAACCAUGUUUUGCUGAGAUUUGCAAAGCUGGAUUUCAACCUGCUCCAACAAGUGCAUCAGAAAGAACUAAGUGAUAUUGCAAGGUUGAUACUAUCUGUUACCACACACAUUAGAUAGGCACCAGACAUGAAAAUUAACGUUACAUUUUUUCUCCAAUUAAUUAGAUAAAUAUGUGUGAUCAUCACUAAUUAUGUGAUUCAUCAGGUGGUGGAAGAAGUUGGACUUUGCUAGCAAGCUUCCUUUUGCAAGAGACAGAGUGAUUGAGUGCUACUUCUGGAUUUUGGGUGUCUACUUUGAACCCAAGUAUUACUUUGCUAGGAGAACCCUUACCAAAGUUAUUGCCAUGACAUCCAUUAUUGAUGACAUUUACGAUGUGUAUGGCACUCUUGAAGAACUAGAUCUCUUUACUAGAGCAAUUGAGAGGUUUGAAAUUGAUAUAUAUUUUUCUUCCCUUAUAUUAUAUUCUCAAUUUAUUCCGGACUUAAGCUUCACCACUUACCAUCGCCGUUCGUCUUCUUAUUUGCAGAUGGGACAUCUCAGCCAUGGAUGUACUGCCGGAGUAUAUGAAAUUCUGUUACGAGGCACUCUUAGAUGUUUAUGCUGAAGCAGAACAGGGGCUUGCAAGCGAGGGAAAAUCAUACCGUAUCGAUUAUGCAAAAGAAGCGGUAAUUAGUUAAUUAAGCCUCAAUUUUGCGUUUAGUAUUGUGAUUCCAAAGGUCGUUGAAGGUUAAGUAACAGUUGAUUUGCUGCAUAUAUGUCAUAGAUGAAGAGACAAGUUAGGGCAUACCAUGCUGAAGCCAAAUGGUUCCACAACAACUACACACCAACAAUGGACGAAUACAUGGAAGUAGCCCUCGUCACUUCAGCCUACUCAAUGCUAGCAACCACAUCCUUUGUUGGAAUGGGAGAUAUUGUUACUAAAGACUCUUUCGAGUGGAUCUUCAGUGACCCUAAGAUGGUAAAGGCUUCAGCAGUAGUUUGCAGACUCAUGGAUGACAUUGUAUCCCACAAGGUACUUGAAUUUGCUGCAGUAGAAAUUAUAUAUCUUAAAACACUUCCUUAGCUAAUUCUGACCUUAAUGUUCUUGGCAUGGCUAUACAGUUUGAGCAAAAGAGAGGACAUGUUGCUUCGGCCGUGGAAUGCUACAUGAUACAAUACGGUGCGACAGAAGAAGAAACCAUAAUCGAAUUUCGAAAACAAGUGAGUGAUGCAUGGAAGGACAUAAAUGAAGAGUGCCUCCACCCUACCUCUGUCAACAUGCCUCUCUUGAUGCGAGUUCUGAAUCUCACACGCGUGAUAGAUGUACUGUACAAGUCUGAAGAUGGCUACACUCAUGCUGGAACCAUACUCAAAGAUUUUGUAGCAUCUCUACUGGUAGAUCCUGUGACUGUAUAAGUGAAAACUGGGAACCUUUGUUUUAGUUCUUACAAGAUGUUUGAACUUAGUAUUGGAGUUGCAGGAGUGUAAUGUCAAAAGCAAUCCUUGUAAUCCCAACCUUUGUACGUUGGGAUCUAAUAUGUGGGUCUUAUUUUUUCAGUUGCAACUUUGAUAGUUCAUCUAAUAACGGAAAAGAAAUUCAAAGUCAUUUUGAUAAAGUAGUCUGGGGUUCACAUCCAAAACCAAUUGGCCAUGGGUGGAGUGGCCUAAACCCUUAUAAAUUCACAGGCAAGGUCCCAUAUUCCCGAUGUGGGAUUCAUAUCUCAACACAUUUUCUUUGAAUACGAACCUUUGACUUUGACAGAACAAUACGAACUCGAGCUUGUCCACGCUGAAAUCCUCCGUUGUCCACCUGCAAAACUCAAGUUAUUUUUCAUGUGUGGACUUAUUGUUGUCAGCAUGUACUUUUUCUGAGUUGGUCUUGAUUAAGUUCAUUUGGAAAUGGAAAAAUAGAAUAAGAGAUUCCGUGUAAGCAUAAGAGCUUAUGGACCACCAAAGCAUACUAGGAUAUGUAGUAAUUGGUUUUGAAUAAGAACUUAACAAGUGAGAAUAGAUAUGGAUAUGGAUCUUAGUAAAUAAACUAGACAAUAGAUCCAGCCGCGCCCUGCUGUGAUUCAAUAAUUCGAUUACUUCGGUCACUGGUUCAUAAAGAGUUCAUUCGAAAUUGUGUUUACUUUUGUUUACCUUUCCUAUACAAAUUUCAUCUACUGAUAUCCGUAGGAAAAACAGACUUGUUAGAAUCUAAAAUUAAGAUUCUCAAAAUGACUGGAGAGACUGUACCACAUGUCAAUGAAAUAAACAACUCAAAUCUCAUCAAAACCAUUUAAAUCAAGGCCAUGUUAGUCUCUUAAAAAAGAAUUUGAUCACUUGUCUUGCUAUUUGUUUAUAUGUUGAAGCAAAAUUUACGAUUAAGUUACGAAUGCUUAUCUAAGACCCUAAAACAUGGUUACUGCCAACACAAACUAACAUAUUCAAAAGAGCAUAUCAAAUGGUAGCUGCACAUUAGAAUUUGAGGGCUGAUCUACUUGUAAAUUUCAGUUCACUAAGUAUUCAAAUCCCUAGUAUUUUGGAAAAAUGCAUCUGAAAAGCCAAGAAUAAAAACCUAUCAAAAAACUUGAUAGAAGGAGAGGGCAAUGACCUCAAAAUAAGGGUAGAAUCCCACUCUCACCAUUGACUGAACUCUUGGGAUAGUAGAUUCUCACUGAGCUUUCUACUUUGUGACUGCUACUCCAUAUUCAACCUCCAUUCUGCAAAUUCAUGAGCGACUUUCAUAUGUUCUUGCUGCAGAGAAUAAUUGAGUUUAUAGUUAAAAUCAGAGUGACCAAGAAGUCGAUAAGGACAACAUAAUAAUUUUCUAAUGAAAAAAGGAUGUUUACCUUAGCAUUUUACUCUCAGAGGGAUCCUUUUCCUCCAUAAUUUGGAGAAGACCUUGCCACCAAACCAGCUCAGUUGCCAUUAGCUACAGUAACAGAAUCACAUUCCAAUGCUCCCAAUUCUAAGCAGAUGUUAAUGGAUAAAAGCAGUCGUCCACCAGCACUGACAAACAUGCAUACAAAUAGAAUAAGGGCAAGAAAAAAAAAGUCAAACAGCGAAUUCCAGCCAUCACAUUCUUAAACUCCCUUUUAACAAAAUGACCACCUUUUCCCCUCAAUCAAUACCUAAGACCAAAAUCAUGUAAUUUUCUACGGUAUGUGAUACCACCACAAAACAUAAAUCUAAAUACCUUGAUGUCAAUAUAAGCUACUGUUCAAUAAAUGAGGCUGCAGCUGCCAACCGAAAUAGAACCAACCACACAGCAAGUAGCAUACCAACAAAUACUACAAUCACAGGCACACAAAUUAAAAAUUCAUAAAACAUAAAUAUCCUUUAGGUAACCAAACAUGAAAUACAAAUGUCACAAAACAGAGAUUUAGGAUCAUUGCCAGAAACAAAAAUCAUGUAAAAAACAAUCACAGAACACAACUUGCAGACAGAAUACCAACACAUACAACAGAUGGAUCGCAUCUUUUAGGAUCCUCAACAUGUAUAACCCAAUUUAUCAUUACCCAGAAACAAAAAGCGUCACUGCACCGUACCACCACAACAGUUAAUAGCUACAAAAACCUUUAGGUUCUAAUAAGCCAAUUUUGUUCUCAAUAGACAAUUAGAACAUGACGUCGCUAUGCUUCCAUAGUUCCAAAUGCAUAAAGUAUGCCAGGAGAACAUCCCAACUUGAAUUUUGUGGCCACAAAAUUUAGCGAAGAGAAAAAACUGCUAGCUUUCUAUAUACACACACACAACAUCAGGUUAUGCAUAUAAUCGCUUGCCAAUCAAAAAUUGUAGAAGAAAUUUUGCUAAAAUUGUAAGGAGGUGUGUAUGCCUUAGUAUAAUAAGGAACCCGACACACUUGACCAUAAAGCAUAAGCUCACAUCAGAUUCCAGAAACGCAAACAAUCCAUUGACAGAACAAUUGUUAUAUAAAUGUACAAAGAUAUCACCCACUGCUGAAAAGAUAACAACUGAACUUUGGUAUUAUAUUCAAUAUUUGAAUGUACUGGCAACUUCACAUGCAUCCCAUCUCUUUUCAUUUCAUUGUUAACCUUUAAUUUCCUACAAACCAUGAAACCAUAACGAAAGCAUGGAUGGUAGCAAAAUAACUUAUUGAUGAGCACCGAAGAUCAGAUGCUCACCACGAUUUAUCUAGCUUAUCGAAGAAGUACAAACCUUCCAGAUCAGUAAUACACACAUAGAAGAAUAACUCCACAAAAUUUCAAGUCAAAACGGAUUCUUACAUCCUAAUCAAACUCGAGUUCAAAACAGCAACACUGCAUAACAUAGACACAAUUUCAGCAUAGAGCACUCAACUUCAGAAAAUCACUACAAAGCGCCUACCCUAUCAAAUAGUAUCAAACUUUCUAGAUCAAGAGUUCACAUAUGGAAGAAAAAGAGUACAAAGUUUCAGAGCAAAUGGAGUCCUAAAUCUUGAUCAAAAUCAGACUCAAAAACAGCUGCACACAUAACACGAAUACAAUUUCAAACAUGUGAACAAAGUACAAUGAAGAAAGAUGUAUACACUGUUCCUUGUCCAACCCAUUUUGCCCCGCAGCAUAAUAGGAAAGCCAUGUGCAGUACUUUUUAGUUUGGAUAAGUUUAUGCCACACAUCAUAAUCCUUUUAUUUUAAGGAUCCUCUUCAUCGAUGUAGAAUCAUGUAUCAAUUCAAUCCAAUUCGAUCAAUUCAAUCUUAUUAGUGUUUAACAUGCAUCCACAUCCACAUCAAAGCCAAAAAUUGAAACCUUGAAAUGAAUAAUGAACCCCUCCUCUUCAUUGAUGUAGAAUCGUUGAGCUUCUGAAGCUCAUAACCUGCAAAAUCACCUUGUUCUUGUUGCCAAACCCAAAUUAAUUUUCAUCAGUCCCUCUCUAUCAGUAAGACACCGUAGUGGAAAGAAAAACAGUCGCACAGUGCGACGAAAAAUAGUAUGUUAAAUCCUCAUUGGACUAAUUGGAUAUGGUCAACUUAACCUUUUGGAUCAGAAUACAAAUAGAACACAAAAACCAUGGGUCGGUGGUAUUGUAAAUUGAAAGAAAAUAGAGGGGUAUAUAAGUCAAAGUGGGGGUGAAUAAGUACCCAAUGUAUCUAACCAUCCAUCCAUCCAAACCAUUAUUUUUUCUCUCUCUAAAAAUAUCUGGUUUUCUCUCUCUAGAGAGGUCUCUGUAAAUCGUCUGAAUCAAAAAGAUCAAAUCUUUGGGUUUAGUUUUUUUUUUUUUUUUCGCGGGAAGAGAUGUCAGGUAAAGGCGCCAAGGGUUUGAUUCAUGGCAAAGGAGCCAGCAACAGCAAAGAUAAGGACAAGAAGAAACCCACCUCCCGAUCCUCACGAGCUGGCCUUCAGGUGAUUACCUUUGCUUCUUUGUUCUUGUUUUUUCUUGAUUUUGGGAUUUUAGGGUUUCGAAUUUGAUUGUUGAGGUUGAGUUUGGGGGGUUUAAUUUGGUAAAGAUUGGAACUUUUUUUGGUUUUGGUAUUGGGUUUUGGUUUGUUUUGGUGAUGAGAAAGCGAAUUAGAAUACCCACAUGGGUUUGGGAACUUAAAAGAUUUAGUUUUUACGGAUGAAUAAUAGUUGUUGAAUUGAGAGUUGAUUUGGAUCGUUUUGGAAGGGCAUGAUUUUGUGUUUUUUCCUUAAACCAUGUUUGUUAGGAGAACCAUAAUCCGAUUGAAGAGUUUGAACUUGAUAGAGAUUUGAUAGAUAGAUACAUUGGAGGGGUGAAUUUUGAAGUUUGAAGUGUCUCGCUCCUCUGGAACAUGCUCUAUUCUAGAUUGUUGUUUACAUUAUGAAUUUUCAGGGUAUAACUGUUUCGAUAAGAUUGUGGAUGUCUAGAAGACUAGAAUAGACUAUGCUUGCUCUAUGUGUCUUGGUAAACAUGAUUGAGUCUUCCUACUCAUAGUAAACAGUUUAAAGUUUCUAAAAGUCCUACCUGAAUCUGUUAGAGAAGUACCAGCUAUACAAUAGAAAUAAUUUCGGUAUAUGAUGUUGAUUACAUAAGUUGUUGGAAUGAUGAUAAACCUACUUAUUUAUAUGAUGUUAGAGACGGAGGAUCCUAAUUAGAUACCUGCAAUCUCCCAAUUAUUAACUUUCAUGAAUAGACUCUCUAGUGGUGAGGGAACGAAGGGUUUGAAUGUAAGAAAGUAGAAACUUCUUAAGACUUUCAUUUAAAAACAUAGCUUCAGCCGUAUGUUAUGAACUUCCAAAGUGUUUCUCUGUCUCACUUUUUGUCCAUUAUUUUCAAGUCAGUUUAUGGACUAUACUAGAGUUGUUGAAUUUCUGCCAUCUACUAAUUCUGUGGUGACAAAUUUCUAGUUCCCGGUGGGUCGUAUCCACCGUCUCCUGAAGCAAAGGACCACAGCUAAUGGGAGAGUGGGAGCGACUGCUGCAGUUUAUUCUGCAGCUAUCUUGGAGUAUCUAACUGCUGAAGUUUUAGAGUUGGCAGGCAAUGCCAGCAAAGAUCUGAAGGUGAAGCGUAUCACUCCCAGGCAUUUGCAGCUUGCAAUCCGUGGUGACGAAGAACUUGAUACUCUGAUAAAAGGUACCAUUGCUGGUGGAGGUGUCAUCCCUCACAUUCACAAGUCACUUAUCAACAAGUCCACCAAGGAGUAAUGAUGAGGGCCAAAAUUCUAUGAGGAGACUCUCCUUUGUGACUUAGGAUCAUGUGUUUUAGUAAUUCGUUAUUUUGCUAGUUAAUUUUCAUGUCUGAUAGUAUUUGUAAUGGAUAAUGGGAUCAGAAACUCUUCUUUUUUAUUAUUAAUCUAGGCUUACUCUAGGAACCCUGUCAUAAUGUCGUAUUGCAUCCCUGGUAUUAAAGGCGUGUUUGAGCUACAAUUGUUGUUUUUCUACCAUUCUAUUUUACAUGAAUUCAGUUGAUGAUGGCAUAACUGCUCUCAAUCGAAGAUGCGGUUCUUUUUAUGCUGCAAGGUGAAAGGUCUAUCUUCAUGUUAUUGACAUAUGUUUACUCGAGUAGUUUCCAUGAAUCAUCAACAGCAGUCAUUUGUGAAAGAAGAUGGGAACAGGUUUUAGUUCCAACAACCUAUUAAAGAUCUGAAAGGCGCGAAUUCAAUUGAAUACUCAUAAAUCCAUGUCCUUCUCAAUAUUCACUGCACAUUCCUCUUAAUCAAUACAGAUAAACAACCAUUAGCAUUAGUAAAUAAGUGAAAAAUUUCCUGCACUCCAACCUAAAACCACCAAAUAAUCUGCGCUAGAAGCAAUGAAAGUCCUUCCUAGAACCUUAAACAUGGAAAAGAACGAAAACCAAUUCUAAACUUCUCAUUAAGAAAAAAUAUCUAGCAAAAGCCACCAAAAUGGUAGUGGCGUAAGAAUGGGGACGACCAACUUAGAAAUUUAGAAGGUUGUCACUCUUGGAACAUCAACUGGGAACUGAUCAAUUUCAGCCAUCCACGGGCUCUUUUCCUUGGCAGGAUCUAUAGUCUUGAGAGCUUUCCACACAGCACUGUUACACUUGAAUCCCGACCCGAAAGCUAUCUGCCAUGUUCUAUCUCCUUUCUUAAUCCUUCCCUUUGCUUCUGUGUAAGCUAACUCAUACCAGAGAGAACUGCUUGAGGUGUUUCCAAAUCGGUAUAGUGUCAUCCUUGAUGGCUCCAUAUGCCAAUCAGACAGAUGCAGGUUCUUCUCCAAUUCAUCCAAGACGGCUCUUCCCCCAGCAUGAAUGCAGAAAUGGUCAAAAGCAAGUCUGAAAUCUGGGAUGUAAGGUUUGAUCUUCAUCUUGAACAGUUUCCUACCCACCAAUGUAGCAAAGAAAAGCAGCUGCUCGGACAUUGGAAGAACAAGAGGCCCCAGUGUGGUGAUAUUGGUCUUCAAAGCAUCACCUGCUACAGCCAUCAGGUCCUUCGAUAGUGUGACACCAAUAUGCCCAGCAUCAUCUUCUUCUUGAGUAACACAGCUAAAGCACUUGUCAUCAGCACCCUUGUGCGUGCGGACAGUAUGGACUAAUUGGUACUUGGACCUCCUUCUGUCUGAGUUUUUGUUUGAAAGAAGUAUAGCAGCCCCUCCCAUCCGGAAUAAGCAAUUUGAAACAAGCUUUGAACGAUCAUUGCCAAAGUACCAGUUCAAUGUAAUGUUCUCCAUGCUGAUAACCAGCGCAUAAGAGUUAGGAUGCACCUGAAGAAGCUUUUGAGCAAGAUCAAUUGAGAUGAGCCCCGCGCUACAUCCCAUUCCACCAAGAUUGUAGCUGACUAUAUUCCCUCGAAGCUGGUAAUGAUUGAUAACCAUGGCAGAAAGAGAUGGAGUUGGAUUGAACAAGCUGCAGUUGACAAUCAAGAUUCCGAUGUCCUUGGGUUUUACAGAUGUCUUGGCAAAUAGCUCGUCAAUGGCACCAUACAUCACUGCCUCAGCUUCUUUCCUGGCUUCUUUCAUUGACGGAUUUGGGGGAAUGUUAAGUACAGCCUCUGGAAGGUAUGUUGAAUCACCAAGGCCGGAUCUCUCAAGGAUCCUUCUCUGGAACUGUAGAUUCUCUUCUGUGAAUGUACCAGUCAUCGUAGACUGAUCCAUGAAAAUCUUUUUCGUGCAUUUUCGAGUUUCUUCUGGCUUGUAACAAGAAAAGUUAACAAGGUACACAGGGCGAGGGCGGGUAAGAAAGUAUACAGUGGAUAGGAACACCAGGAGGGUCGAGCAGAUGAUCACCGAAAUCAGGUUGUAUUGGAGAUGCUCCCAUAGAUCAUAUAGAUCUUGGAGCGAAAAUGUGGAGAGCUGGGCAGCAAUAACAAUGACAAGAGGGGAAAGGAAAAGGUACAUUCCAUGGGUGAUGAGAAUAUGGUAACCAAGCUUCACAUAUUUUAGCUUAAUGGAUUUUUUGAAGUCGGGGAGGUUCCUAUUGUUUGAGGGUCUAGAUGAUGGUGGGAUCAAUGGUGUAUCUGGUUUUGGUUCCGCCAUAUUUCCCUGAUAAACAUACAACACCUCUAAUCAGAUCAAAUGCACAACAAAAUCAUAAACCAAUGUAUUAAUAGAAAAUUAUAAUCACAGAAGAUGAACUACCAGAGACUAAAAAUUAAAUUAGUAAAGGGUGGUUUUCCAGAACAUAAAGGCAAAUUCCAAUAGCUUUUCAAUUGGCAUCCAACCAGAAAUGACUCUUGGAAAGCCAAUGGAGCUUUUCAAAAAAGAAGGUUGUCUAUUAUUUACAGCUACAUAUCACACUGAGAUAAUGAAAAGGCAGAAAGAACACCUAAUGGUCCCAAUCCAAGCACCAAUUCAAAAAUGGUGGAACAGAACAAAAGCUACACACUUUGAUCCUUACAAGUUGGAGCCAAAGUGCUAAACACAAUCCAAACACAACCCCAGAUCAGAUUUUUCCAAUAAAGAACACUUCUUUCCAAACAAAUCAGCAGAUUAACAAACAAUGUUACACAACCCUUAUAAACACUCACACAAAGAACCAAACUUUAUCACAGAAACCAUACAAAUUCACACAUCCAAGAACAGAUCAAACCUCCCAAGAUACAAAACAGAACGUUAUAGAAAAAAGCUGCAAGCUUUGAUAAUGAGGCAAAACCCAGAUCGAAGACUGACCUUGGUUGCCGAAACCCACCACCAGAUCUCACAGGAAUGUCGUCGUCGCCAGCCAAAGACAACCGGAGAGAAACAGGGCAAAAGGGAAUAUGGGAGAGGUUCAAAGUUUGAAGUGAGAUUAUAUUAGAGCUAAAAAUAGGGANNNNNNNNNNNNNNNNNNNNGGCAAAUGCAUUUGCAAUUUUGGGUUUUAGAUAUUUUCUUUCUUCUAUUUUGUGUGUGUUUUCAUUGCUUUUUUCUCAUUUAAGAGGUUGAGAAUAAAGAUGUAGGAAAUCAUUCUAGUGAAGACCCUUAAGUUGAGGAUUUGGUGAGGGCUUUUCGGUUUAUGGUUUAAAAUACCCAAUUUUCGAUCACAUGUUGACAUCUUAUCUGUUCAGUUUUUAGGUUUAUAUGAGUAGAUCAUUUCUACAAAUUUUCACCCAAAUUGGUGUUCAUUAAGAUAACAAACUAGAUCAAAUUAAUGGACGAACCAAAUCUGCCAAAUAUGAACCGUUCAAGUUCAUAAUUGAUAAAUCACACUUAUGAAUGUCUUAACAAUUUUCAAUAUAGCUGAAAAUUUGAAGAAAUGAUAUACUCAUAAAUACCUAUAAACUGAACGGUCAAUAUGUAGAUAUAAGAUCGAAAUGUGGGAUAAACCGAAAAGUCUUUACCAAGUCCUCAACUUAAGGGUCCUCACUAGAAGGGCUCCCUAAAGAUGUAUACCAAAAAGAUAUCAACUUCCAAGUCUGUGUACAUGAAUCAUGUGCCAAUAUUUGUGUGAUAUACAUCUUAUCGGGUUGCAUUAGCUUUCAAGGUCUCUAUGGAUUGUGAAUCGAAAUUUACUCUUAUACAGUUAGUUGUUAGAGUUUAUUGUCUCAUGAAAAUUGUAGCGUUCGAAAAGAUACCAUAAUUUCAUGUCUAGACCCGUUUGGAGAUUUACUACUAUGAAACUCGCAUUCAUCCAAAGUACAGAAAACUAAAAUUUAGAAAGAAAAAAAAAACACCCUCUAGCCUCUGGUUUAUAUGUGGAAAUAAUACCUCCAAUAUUCUUCCCUUUAAUUUUGCUUUUCAAAAUCAAGGUGACAAUACAAAUGGCAUGAUGAUUGGAAAAGAAAAUGUCAAAUUAUUCCCUCUUUGAAUAUGACAAGUGAGAUUGAAGAAGAGUAUAGUGAAAUACAACAAAAUCGAGCCGCCCAUUACAGUUAAGGAGCCGUCAAGAACAAAGCCAGAAGGCUUAUAUUAUAUUUGACUGGUAUACAAUUCAGUGAAUUGGUAAUGUUGUAUAGGGCAGGCAAUUUGAGGAGGGACCAAGCACGAGGUUGAUGACCAGUUGUUCACAUGGAUAUAAAGGUUACAACUCUGUCACUGUCCCUAUUGUCAGCUGCGCUGGCUCCACAUGCUAUGCUGUUCUUCAACUCAAUCCAUGAGCUAUAUCAUCUUCUAAUAACAGAAACAACAAACCAACUUCAACAAUGAAGAAAUUUCCAAGUCUGUCUGUUUAGCAAGAUUUGACAAACUGUUUUAUGAGGAAAUGGUGAGGGUGAGAUGGAAUCUGGGAGAGUUGAAAAGGAAAUGUUGCCAACAAAUUUAUCUUGUGGGGUUAAGUUGGCAUCAACCAUCAAGCAUAAUUCCACCUUUGAUCAAACUUGGUUAAAGAAAAGCAAACUCUAAUACAGGAAAAGAAAUCUUACAGUAGUAACUUGCUGUUGGAGAACAAUGAUAUGAGGGAAAGUUAGUUGAACAAUAGGCAAUGUUGAACAUGCUACUCCAAUGUGAAUUCCUCCAGCCAUAUCAGCACUUCAUUUCUCUAAAAUGCAGUCAGCACCAAAACAACACAAAAGAUCAACCGUUAGAGUGAAGAAAGCAAAAUUCGGUAGGAUUUGGCAAAAAGAGGACUAACAGUACAAAUAAAAGCUUAAUGAUCAAGAUUACUUGCUACUGGUUUUGCUUUGUCUAGAAGGCAGUAGAAGUAACAGCUACCAAGACUACUACAACUAGGGCUAGUAAUCAGGCCAAAGUCGAGUUCAACUUUUCUUGAAAGAGGGUUGCUUGCAGUACUCAUAGACCUUCAAUAUGUGAAAGGGUAGAUAUAUAUCUUGUAACUUAUUAGAUGAAGUUUCAACAGUUGAAAUUUUCUUAGUUGAGGUUUUCUUGAAAACAGGUUUUCUUGCAGUUAUUCCAGAGCUUCAAUGUCAAAGGUAGCUAGAUAUCUUCCAACUUCUUGGAUGAAGUUCCUAUAGUUGGAAUUUUCUUUGGUGAAGAAUUUUCCAUCUUGAAGUUUUCUUUGAUGAAGUUUUCUCCAUAUAUCAUAUAAAAUUAGAGAUAUAUAAGAACACAUUAUCAGACUGGUCACUGAUGUUACAUACCAUUAUAAAGCUCCAAGUUCGGCCAGGGUCAUUGUAACGAGCAAGCAUACACCCGGCCUUAGGUUUGAGACCAUCUCUGAUAAGACUAGCACGCAGCAAAUUCUCCUUUUCACGAACAACAUCUUCGGUAGGCUUCCCACUAAACUUGAUAACAGCAGCAAUGCCUUCUUCCAUUUUUUUCAAGCUAAUUGUUUCUGCAUUAGGAUCUGGUAAACUGGCCACAUCACAUUUUUCUUAUUAAUAUAUAACUCUUCACAAGGACAAAUGUAAGUACGAUAUAUAUCUAACAUCUAUUAAUUCUCCACCUGCUUAAAUCCUUGUCAAGUGGAAGACAUACUUUGAUGGAUACUUUGGAAAAUUCAGCAUCAGAUGCCUCAGUGAACACCGGAGUUGUCAUUGGUAUCUUUUCCAUUUUUGAGUUCUUUCCAAAGAUGUACCUAAGCAAAUCCCAUUUCCAUAUCACAAAAAGAAACAAAAUUUUUUUUUUUUAAAGAAAAUAUAUUUAUAGCACAUGAUUAGCUAAGCUGUAAUGCAAGCACUCACCCAGUAACAUCAUUGAAACCAGCUGAUCCAGACAGCUUGUCUGCACUUCCUUCUACCACUAUAAAAGGGGAGUACUUUCUUACCUGUAGAAUCAAUCCAGGAAUCACCAACAAAACAGUAAAACCAUCCAAUCAAAUAGAGUUACAGAAGAAAACAAAAACCUUCAAAUGUAAUGCAUUUCAUUCAUGAUUCAUCAACUUUAGAGAAUGAAGUCUAAAAGCCCAACUUUUAAUGAAUGCAACAUUAGCCAUUCACUAAGGAGAACACACCUCAUAAUUUGCUGUUCUCUUUAGUAUGUCAUAUUUUGGUGUUUCCAAGUCUGGAGUUUUGUAAAUCCUCAGCUGCAGGGUUUUACAUACAAGAAGAGACUAAGGCAAGAAAGAAUCUUUAUACAUGAUAAUGGAAAGUGUAUAAUGAGUCUGCCAAUACCUGCUUGAAUACAUCUAACAAACCUUCUACAGAAAAAUAGUCAUUCUUCUUAAUGGAAUCCCAGAAGUCCUACAUGUACAUUACAGCAGAUACAUGAACAAUUUUAGAAAUUACGCUGUAUCAUCUACAUUGUACUAUAAAGAGUCAUGAGGUGAAUGAUUGUUACCACAUGGCUGCAGAACUUCCCAGUUUCGGGGUUGAUUCCCAUAACAGAAGUACCAGUGAAGAUCAAUUCUGGUUUCCAAGGCAGAGGGACGAACUUCAUAACCAUAGUCCACCUUGUAGUGAUUUCAUAUGGUCCUGACUAUAUAGCAUCUUAAUCAGUAACUUAAGACAGUCCCACUCCAAUUUCAAGUGGACAUCCACAUGAAUAUGCACAGAUUGAAAACUUUAAACUAAAAGUUUGAGUCUGCACUCAAAUUUUAUUUCCUCAUAUUCAACAUAGUCACAUUAACCUCAUCCAACAUAUAUAUGCAGCUAUGCAUCAUCCAAAAUUCUAAGUUACAUAAUUUCAUUCUAUGAAAAUCAUUGAACUGCACCCAGUUAAAUUCUUAUAUUUAAUUACUCAAUGCCUAAAAUUCCCAAUAUUCUAGUAGUUAAUCUAAUAAGGGAAAGAACACAGGUCCUUUAAACAGUUACCUGUUUUACCCAGUGCAACUGGAACUUGGGAGUGAAGACUGUCUUCAAGAAGGCAAUGUUCAACAAAUAGCCAGUUAUAGAAUCAUGCUUGGUGAUUGGAUCCCUGAACUUCACACGUUCAUCAUACGCCGUCCGAUCAAUUCCUUGAUCAUCAAACAAGUGAACUAAAUCCUGGUACAGAAAAUCGACCACCCUUUCCAUGUCGACGGUUGAUUUUGGCGGGCUUUGGUCUACUAAGCUAAGUCUAACAGCCCACUUUGAGUAGUUUUGCCUUGUUUGAAGCCCCAAGUGUUUGUGUUUCAAGGCUUUGGAACGUGGAUGGCAUGGUAGUUUAUUCGCUUUGGUGGUGCUCAGCCGCCGUAAACUGACGCACACGGCGGGGAUAGGCCUGAAAACUUGGUCGGAAAGCUGUGUGCUAGCCAUUUGGUGGUUGUGGUGGGCGUGUGACUGUGUUGGCUUGGUGCGUGACCAUGCAUUGCUACUAUGAAACAACUUAGCCACAAGUAUUGAUUGGUUGGUGUUCGUUUCUGAAAUUAGUGGCUACAAUUUCUUCAUGUAAACAUAAUUGAAUAGUAGAACUCGUCGUUUGUAAAUACCUUAUGAAAAUGAUAAGGAGAAACACUAGUAUCAUUGUCCUGCAGAUAUGACUUUAAGCUAAAUUCUCCAUUCUAUGGUAGACUAGCACAGUAUUGCAGCACAAUUUCACACUCUCAGUACAAGACUUUACUGAUGAGAAACCCCUCUGUAUAUUUGGCCAUCCAUGAACUUCAAUAUCAUAACUAAUCCAAAACAUAAACACCAAAUAAGUGACCAUUUCCCAUCUCCUAAAUCACACAUUGUGCAGGAGAAAGAUGAAAUGAAGGGCAAGAUUCCUCCUGCCGUAAAUAAGUUGGAUAAGUGAGGGCAUCAAGGACUUUUUCAUUUGCUAAGAAAUUAAAAUGUAGCUGGCUUAGUAUAGAACCCUCUUGUUUCCCAGGGUUCUGACAGGAAUCACAGGAUUAAAUGGCAACAGCCCUCCCUCAGUCUCCCACUCUCAAGACUCCUCUUUCAGGAUGUGUGACGACGAGUGCUAUGAAGGUAAGUCUCUCUUGACCUCUGCAUCCACCUCUAAGCUUGGUUUGUCCAUUUCUAAUGUCAUCACAAAAUGGCUCGAAUCCCUACCCGAAGAAAUCAUACCCAACAUCCUAAUCACACUACCUGUCAAAUCCCUCAUCAGAUUCACCUCUGUCUGUAAAUCUUGGGAGUCCACCAUCAAAAACCCAAAAUUUAUCCACACCCACCUCACCCACACUCUCAAUUCCAAUGACCAAAACGACACCCACCUCAUUCUCUUCCACGAUGUUCAUAGUAAACAUUUCUGUCACUAUCCUAAGUACAAGAAGCCUCUUUCUCUCUGCAUUAUGAUUACACUGCUGCUGUUACUGAGUAUUGCAAGAUUGAGUUUCCAGUAGCUAUCAAGGAAGCAGUCAUGAAUGCUUUUCGUGUUGUGGGUACUUGUAAUGGGCUGGUUUUGCUGGCUGAUGAUUUGGAGGAUUACGGUUACACCUUUGUUGUAUGGAACCCUAGUAUAAGAAGGUAUGUGACCCUUCCCAAGUCCACUAUGAGGUUUUCGAGGCAAGGUACGUAUGUUGGUCCGGUUGGUCUGGGUUAUGAUGCUGUUGGUAAUGACUAUAAGGUUGUGAGACUUACCACCCUUUUUAAGAAAGAGAAUCCUUGUCGGCCUGAUAUUUGGCCCACUUCAGUUGAGGUUUAUUCACUCGCCAAGGGCAUUUGGAGCACGGUCAGUCCUCCUCAAUGUAUUGUUCUUCAUUACUCCGCUGCUCAGGUUUUCGUCAAUGGGGCACUUCACUGGAUGGCUAAGCAUUGCCAUUGGAUAGAUGAGAUGGUACAUAUAGACUCUUUCAUUUUGACAUUUGAUGUGGCUGCUGAGUCAUUUGGAGAGAUAAUGUUGCCCAAGGGCUUCGAAUCAGAGGAGGCACAGUUGUCUACGUUGUCUGAUUCUGGAGAUAGAAAUUCUAUUGCUCUGUUUGUGAGGAAUGAGGUUCCGGGUGCUUUUGGUCUUGAAUAUUGGGUAAUGAAAGAGUACAGUGAGGAGAAAUCAUGGACAAAGUUGAUGGUUUUUGGUCCACAUGAUCGGUGGAUAAAUGUACCCAGGGUAUUGUGUUUUAGGAGGAGUGGUGAAGUGAUGUUGUUACUUAAGGAUGGCCAUACAGUUUCACUUGACAUUGUGAGCGAAGAAUUUAAACAUCUAGGGAUGUAUGGAGGGGACCUUAGCUCUGUUCACUCUUAUGAAGAGAGCCUUGUCUUGCUUGAAAGGAAAGAUGUUGUUUCUUACUGAGGCAAUGAACCAAGUAAGGUGAUUAUUUCUUGAACUUACCUUUGCUGAUAGCUUCUAAUUUUAAUGCAUAUGCUGCUAAUUGUAUAUGAUCUAUGACGAUUGGAUUUUACCUCAGCCACAAAGUUUGAUAUUGUGUAUGCUGAUUGCUUUGAUUGCUCUGUGCGUCAUGUAUUAUAUUUUUUCUUUGCCACAAGUUUGUUGUUCGUGUCUUUCUGGUGUUUCGUUAGGAACUUGCUAUAAUAUUGUUUUAAAUGUUUUCCUGUCUUAGCUAAUUGUCUUUCUUGUUCUGUCGUUUUGAGAACAGAGACUAGUAACCAAGUUGAUUAGAAAUCAAGCAAACCAACUUCAGAACAAUUCGCUGUACUUUAUGUUUGGAAAACAAGACUUAAAUGAGUAACUACUCAUAUCAUAUCAUUGCUUUCUCCGUGUUUUCUAUAAUAUCUGUUUGGUAUUACCUUAGACAGUAGAGUGUGGUCUCCAAGGAACUGUUGAGGCUACUGCAUUGUAUUUGAAAUUACAUGUUUUUAUUUGCUGUUGUUAACUGACCAUAUUAUCUCUGUCGAUGAUGUGUACUUGUCACUUUGAAUCGUUCCCAACCAACCAUAUUAUCUGGUCGAUUGAUUUGUUAGUUUUUGAUGACUACUUGUUACUUUUAAUAUGAAUAUGGCACAAAUCAUGCUAUUUGAUUUUCUAUUUGCAUAGGCAGCAUCAUAUGAAAGCUGAUGAAAUGUGGGAUACCAAAAUUAAGACCGAGUAAUAGUUGCAACUUUCUACUCUAAUUUCUGUAGAUUUUCUUUGUUUAUCAAUAUUUGGAUUGAAUUUCCAUGGCAUUAUCUUUUUCUUUUCUGGGUUGAAUUACCUCCGUUUUACAUUACAUGCCUUGGCAAUCUUGAGCUGAUUAUCAUCCUACAUCUCUGUCAUCAACUGUGAACCACAUACUUUCCCUUCACUUCACUCUCUAGUCUCUAUGUUGUGUUAAUACAAAUAUCUGAACAAAGCGUUGAAAAGUGUUCUACUACCACUUCCGGUGCGUUCAUGCAGCAUCCCUUUUGGGACUCCAUAGCAUUUGGGACUCCAUUUGUAUAAUAUAACUUGCUGAAGCAUUUAUUCAAUUGUGUGCAGGUCAGACAUUGGGACACAUGACUUUCAAGACUGUUUUUUGUAGCUGUGAAGUGUGAGAAUCUGAUGCAUGGGUUUGCAAUUUCAGUCACUCCAUCUACCGACUGAACUUUUGAAGUGCAUCUAUAUAGGAUAUGUAGUCCCAUCUAGUAUGGGUAUGUAAUCCUAACAUGACUCGCUUCUAAUUUGGAUCUUCCAUCAGACUUAUCAGUAGUUAUUAGUAUUCUCGUGUGUAACAAUAUUUCAACUGAAUAGAUUACCCUCUAUCUUAAUCGUUUACGCGAUCUCUUGUGGUUUUUCUUAACCGCAUCCAAAGCUUGAUGCUUACAAGCUUUGGAAUAUGGAGAAUGGCCUAAAUUUGCCUUUGCUACUUGUGAAUUCUUUCAUGCUUGUGUCUUUGCUAUUCCACAUUCUAUUGAAAGAUCCUUUAGACAUUGAGAACAGGUCAACUUGCGGAACAUGAUUCACCUUCGAUUAAUCAGGGAUGACACUAAGAAAUUGAUACUAGGAGAGAAAUUUGACAUAUGCUAAGUAUCAGAAGUCUCUCAAUAUACCCUGAAUUGAUUCCCUCAAAGAUUGAUGUGAAAUUGAAAGAAAGAACCAGUAUCAUACUCACUUCAAGCUAAUUUCUCCAAUCUAUGCUAGACUAGCACAUUCUUGCAGCACAAUUCCACACUCUAGCACACGACUUCACUGAUGAGAAACGCGCCAAGCAUAUCAUCAUUCCCCUAUAUACACACUUCAAUAUCCCAACAAGGCUGUUGUAUUGCCAAGUUGGGCUCUUUCAUUACGGACUUUGGUGGUGGUUCAACGGGGCCGUGACUGGAGUAAAGCCCAUAUGCAUUGCAAAUUGCUUUUCGGCUAUGAGACAUCUUACCCACAAGUUGAUUGGUUGGUGUUCAUUUCUGUUUACAUCCUUAAAUAUAUUAUGCAAAACUAUUAAGAUAAAGAUUUUAAACUAAAUAUUUCAAUACUAACCUCACAAUCAAGAAUUUUUGUGAAAAUAUAAUAUUAAACUAAAAUCAAUAAAAUCCAAACAACAACAAUUCUCUACAUCUUUACAUCAAAAAAAAAAAAACAAUUCUCUACAUCUUUUAAAUCAGAUUUGAGAAUAUACAAUGUGGUGGGAUUGUUCGUUCUUAUUUUUAUUUUAUUUAUGGCUUCAAAUGUAGUCUUUCAUAUAUAUAAUCGUAAAGAAGGAAGUCAAUAAAGAGAUCAAGGAGAAUAUAUAUAGGAUGUGGUUUGUGAAUAAAUAGAGGUAUGCGUUAAAUAUAUUGAUGAUAUAUUUUUAUAUUUUAUCAGAUUGAGGAAAAUAAAAUAAAGAAAAUAAAAACCAGAUUUUCUCUCAUAAUUUUGAGGGCAGAAUUAGAACGUUAAAGAUAAAAAAUAAGACGUGGGGUGAACUAAGCAUUUAGUGGGGUGGAAAUAGCCGCACCCUAAAAUAUUUGUAAAAAAUGUUCUAAAAGGUGCUAAAAACCAAGAAUAAGAAAACUCAUUAUUUGUAAAUUAAAGUGCAUAUCUUAAAUCAUUUUUGUCUAAGUAAAAGCAGGCAUGAAUCGAGAAUCUUAAACCACAAUAAUAUCAUACAACAAUUCUCAAAUAGAAAGAUCAUAGCCCCAUAAAUUACAAAAUUUGCUCACUCAUAUCCACCACUAAAGUAAUAUAUGUACAUUGCAUUUGUGUAGAGAACUACUAUAAAUUUAGGAAAAUUCAUACCUGUCCAAACUUUUUGACUGUUAUAUGUACACGUUUGUAAAACAUUGCCAUAUAAAGUGAACGUUGGACAUGCAUUAGAAAAACACAUUCUUCCACACUCUUGACACAAGUCGUCACUGACGAGAAACGCGCCAAGAAGCAUCAUCCCUCUAUAUAUAUGCCCAUCCAUGAACUUCAAUUCCAUAACCAAUCCAAAGCAUACACACCAAAGCUCCCAUUUCCCUCAUCUCCUAAUUCAGACUCUUCAUUUCAUAAGAAAACCCAUCAUCCAAAACCUCCAAAUCAACAGUCCAAACUAGAAGGAUGUCGAAAAUGUUUGCCCUUUCAAAGUUCGAGACUGCCUCAAUAUCAUGGUGGAAGAAGCAUGGAGAUGGAGACGACGACGGUGAUGAUGGAUACGACUAUGCCCCAGCGGCAUCAGCAUGCAUGGAAGGCGACAGCGAUGACGACGAUUCCGACUAUGAUUAUGCUCCGGCGGCCUCUACGGAAGGCGAUGACGACGACGAUGAUGGUGGUUAUGAUUAUGCUCCAGCUGCAUAAGAGCUGUGUAACUAGCAAUUCAGUCGAAAUUGCUUAUAUUAAUUCUUGAUAUGAGAUCGAGUGGCAUUUCUAUCACAGGGUUAUUUGCAAACCCCUAAGUAUUUUCUGACGGCCUUUGUAGCUCGUCAGAUGUUAUAGGGUAUUAUGUAUCAAUUUCUGAUCAGUAAACCUCUGAAUUAUGGUCCUCUACUACUCUAAUUUCGUUUUUUGUUUGAAACUCGAAGAUGCUAAUUAAGUAUUAACAUGAGCAAAUGUGGUUUGUGACACUGUUUCCUUUCAAUGAUCGAAGUCUGUAAUAGUUUCAAGCACACAAUAAGUCUCAUUUCCCUAUCUGCAAGUUUGCUUAAUUAGUGAAAUAGAAAUACUUUACAUGGAUGAUUUGAUCAUCACUUACUAAAUGAAACUACUUGACUAUCAAUUCGAGGAACCUGGAGAAACCAAAUUUGUUCAUAUGCUGUUGUUAUUUUCCAUCUUUCUUGUAAUGGCUCAGCUCACCCCGCACUUGCUUUAUCAUGAUAUUCUCUUCCUUUACCUUUUCAAUUAUAAUUCUAAUGUAUUUCUCUAAGUGGUCACUUUACUUAUCAUCUGCUAUAAACUAAAUUCAAACUUUCUGGGAUUGCUGACGAAGAGCUUAGUAUUCGACGAGCUACUAA
rnacentral:lncRNA from 1 species